rnacentral:lncRNA from 1 species
GUGUUUGCAAAUUAGGCCAAAAGAACCAAGCUUUGGCCUUGAUGAAUGAAAUGGUGGAGCAGAACAUAUCACCUGAUGUUUAUACCUUCAAUGUAUUGAUUGACGCUCUUUGUAAGGAUGGAAUGGUUUCAGAGGCUCAAAAUACAUUCAAUAUAAUGAUUCAAAGAGGUGUAGAGCCUAAUGUGGUCACCUACACUUCCUUAAUUGAUGGUCUUUGCAUUUCAGACCAAUUCAAGGAAGCUUUUGCCUUGUUGAAAGAAAUGGUGGGGAGGAACAUAUCCCCUAAUGUUUUUACCUUCAAUAUAUUGAUCGACACUCUUUGUAAGAAAGGACUGGUUUCAAAUGCACAGAUUAUAAUCAAAAUAAUGAUUCAAAGAGGUGUGGAGCCUAAUACUGUCAAUUAUAAUUCAUUGAUGGAUGGUUAUUGUCUUUGCAAGCAAAUUGAUAAGGCUAGAAAGCUAUUUGAUCUGAUGGUGACCAAUGAAAUAGCUGACAUUUUUAGCUACAGCAUUUUGAUCAAUGGAUAUUGUAAGUGCAAAAUGAUAGAUGAUGCAAAGGAUAUUUUUGUUGAAAUGUCUCAUAAAGGUUUAGUUCCUGAUGCUGUUACUUAUCAUACUCUUAUAAAGGGUAUGUUUCAAGCAGGAAGGCCCCAAAAUGCAAAAGAGCUCUUUAGGAAUAUGUGCUCUCAUGGUCAACAGCCAAAUAUAGUAACCUUCUCAAUUAUGAUUAAUGGCUUGUGUAGUCAGGGGAAUCUGGAUGAAGCACUCACCCUAUUGAAAGAAAUGGAGGAAAGUCGGUUGAAGCCUGAUCUUGUGACCUAUUGCAUUCUGAUCAAUGGUAUGUGCAAAGUUGGGAAGAUUAAUGAUGCCAAGGAACUUUUUUCUAGUCUUUUUGAAAUUGGUUUACAACCUGAUGUUUAUGUAUAUAAUGCAAUUAUGAAAGGACUCUGCCAACAAGGACUAAUGGACGAAGCGUAUAAGGUAUUUAGAGACAUGGAAAAGGGAGGAUGUUUACCGAAUAAUUGUUGUUAUAAUAUCAUCAUUCAAGGGUUUCUCAAGCAUGAGGAUUUACCAAAAGCAUCAGAACUAAUCAACGAAAUGGUUGAUAAGGGGUUCUCUGCUGAUGAUGCUAACACAGCAUUGGUAGUACAUUUAUCGCGGAAUAAUGAUCUCAUUCUGAGGCUUUUAAAGGUGCGCAAUGAGGGAUCAGCAAACUAAAGUUGUUAUAUCUUGACCAUUCAAGUUGUCUUGGAGCGCAACUUGGUAAUUACCUUUUUCAAAUAUAAUAGAUAUGUAAUUUAACUAACUUCUUCAAAUAUCAUUUUUAAUUUCAAUCAGCUGUGAUUCUCUUCCACAAAAUAAAAAUUUCUAACACGGCAAAUGACCUGUGGUGGAAACCAUGACAUGUGUGUGCCUUUCGCUUGAAUUCAGACAUGGACUUGAUCUCUUUGAGAUAAGAUUGUUGAUGAAUGGAGGUCAUGGAUUUCUAAUGAUCAAGUUGCUGGUAAACCCACCAUCUCCUUACAAUUUUUUAUUGGCUGCUACUACAGCCUCAACUGGAGAGCUCAGUCCUAAAAUUGAGUUGAGAACUAAAACUAAUUGGUUCCAUACUACAAUGCUUAAGAAUCUUUAUCUAUUUUUAUUUUUGUGCUCAAUGACCUUUUAAAAUGCUAUCAUUUCUCUUGUAGGUACUUGCAAGGAUAUGAUUACAACUUCACCUUUCUAACAAUAAAAAAGGUCUAAGCAAUUCUUUUUUGCUUAAUUAUUAUUCUAUUUUUAAUAAUUUUGAAAAUAAUGAUUAUAAAUCAGUGUGCUUUAAUUGAGAAUUGAUUUAACAAUUAGACUACACUAUAAAUGCAGGGUGCAGGAUAUACGGUCCCAGAGUACAAGGUAAGAGAAUCACUACACAUCUACAGCUGUUGGUUGGAUGAAAUGUCACUAAAAUUAUACACAACCGAAAAUGUUAUGGGAAUUGGGGAAAGGCAAACAUCCUCUUUGUNNNNNNNNNNNNNNNNNNNNNNNNNNNNNNNNNNNNNNNNNNNNNNNNNNNNNNNNNNNNNNNNNNNNNNNNNNNNNNNNNNNNNNNNNNNNNNNNNNNNNNNNNNNNNNNNNNNNNNNNNNNNNNNNNNNNNNNNNNNNNNNNNNNNNNNNNNNNNAUAUAUAUAUAUAUAUAUAUAUAGAUCCUUAAUUUCUUUUAUUUUCCUUCAAGUCAAAUUAGUGAAAUCAUUGCAUUAGCAUCUAAUAAUAUGAAGUUCACAAUCUUUUCCAAUGAAAUCAAUUUUUUAACAUGAAAAUUUGAAUUUUAGAAAUGUUUGUGGAAGGUAUAUAUAUUCUUCCCUUCGAGAUUCUUUAUUUUGUGCCAAGUUGAUUGGAUGUACUGUUUGAAAUGUUAGUUAAGUUAGGCAAGAAAAGUUGUUUUGGUUGUUUCUUUUCUCCUUUCAGCAGUAUAUAAUGAGACAUCUUAUGUUUUUACCACUUUCUAAUAUACUACUCAAUAAAAUUUUCUUUGGGCUCUUGUUUGUACAUGGUAUUUUUCUUUUUGCUUGAUGAUUCUUGAAGUUUUUGUGACUGCAUCCAUGGGAAUUGGUUUGUUAGGGAAGGUGGGGCUGACAGGGUACAUAUUGAGAGGUAGGAAACCAAUUGCAAAAUGAUUCAGAUCCUUUUACUCUUCAAAACUCAGAUAAUCCAAGUAGAAUUCUCAUAUCUGCACCGUUAAAUUAAGUAUAAAGAAUAUAUAGUUAAAAAGAUAAAUCUAUUUAUAUCCAUUUAAUUUUAAUUUUUUUUUAUCCGUUUGUAAAUUUAUUUUUUUUAUAGUGCUAGAGGUUUAAUAAGUUGGAGAGAGCAGGGCUCACAGCAGCCUCACUCUCUUGUAACCAUUCAAAGACUCGAGUCAUAUCAGUGGCGUUAAUAGCAUCUCUUGAUAUGUCACCUCUCUAGAAAAUUUGAACCCAUCCUAAAAAAAAAAGCAAGCAAACCACCGCACUUUCAGUGGCCGGAAGAGUGAUAUCACAUCUAUGAAUUGACUUAAACCAAGACUGGUCUUUAAAAUACUCUCACCAUGAAGCUCUAAAUUUACAACUGCAAAAGUAAAAAUAGAAAAACACAAUAUUUUCACCCCAGCCAUAGAGACAAGGAGAGUAAACCCAUAUCCAAGACUCGAGGAAGCCAUCCCUUAAAAGGAACAGGGAACGGUUGCAGGACUAACCAUUAGUAGAGAAACAAGGUUUGCCCUCAGAAGUAAACAGGCAGAGAUAAAGCACUCUCUCUUUAACUUUCACGGCUCUUAUUCAAAAAUUUGAUUUCAAAUUAUAAAAAUAUGCUUUUAUAUUAUAGCAAUUCUUAUCUAAACCAGCUUAACAUUAACUUAAAAUAUAAAUAUAUAAGAUUUUUCUUACAUUAGGUUUACAUAACUAUUUUUUUAUAUAUUAAAUAUACCCUUAAUUAAAAUGAUUUUUUUUCUAUUACAUGAAAAUAUAUUUGCACCUAUUUUCAAAUAAAACUUUAAUAUAAUUAAAAUAAACUAUGUUUGCCUUUGGUUAACAUACCAUUCACUCAUAUUACUCCUUAAAUAUUAAAGAACUCAUACUAUUAGAAGAUUUUUAAAAUCAGUAAAUUUUACUUUUUUUCAAUAGAUAUUAAAUAGAAUAUAUUAAUAAACUAAUAAAUAAAUCAUCAUAUACAAGUUCAUAUAAUUUAACAUUACACUGCUGAUUGCAACUACUUAGCUCCAUAACGCCAUUCUCUAAAACCCCAACUCUCACACCCAACCCUCUGCAAUAAACACAGAAACAAAACCUCAUCUCUCUCUCUCUCUCUCCCCUCAAAAGAAAAUCAAUAUAUAAUAUGUAAGUGAUCAAGUGAUUGAUUAUGGACAUCAUAGAUCUAACAGAAAAUUAUACCUUGCAAUUCACCCCCACAAAAAUAUUUUCCCGGCAAAGAACGAUCAUUCGAGCCGCUGUGUAUUCGAGCUCUCCAAUGACCACAGCUUGAAGUUACUUCAUUGUCUUGUUAGUGAAUGAUCAAGUAAUUCUUGAGAAGCAUUACCUCUUCUGGUUGGUAUUAAUUUUGUUGAGAAGCAAGCCAGGCAUCUCAUCAAUAAUGGCGAUUUACGCUUAUAGGAACGCGCUGAGCAGCUUCGCUACUGUUUCCGAACCAUUCACUGUUAUAAGAAGACCAAAGAGAAAGUCCACUUUUGUAUGAUAAGCUGUCAAUGAGAAAAUGAUCCUGAAUUCCUAUUCGUUGCCUCGGUGUGCUCAUCGACCUCGCCUUUGCCUUUGCAGAUUCUGUUGCAGCCAUGUAAGUUGGGAAAACAGGAGAAUUCAGUGCAGAACUGUCAUCUCCUGUAGUAUUCCGUUGUGUCCGACAAAAUGAUCUUCUUGGAAAUGACACUGGUGAACUCAAUGCUUCUAUGUUAUCUCGUUUCCGUGAACUCAUUUUCACUUGUGUUGUACCAAAUAUGUCACUUGCUUUCAGAUUCUCUAUCCGUUCUCUAGCCAAUUCUUCCAGCCAGUGUCUCUGUCUAUCAGGUUCAUUCUUGGCUAUUGAUUCUUCCAGUACAUAGAUAAGAAAGUAAAAAAGAGAUGUUUUUUUAAGAAUAUAAUCUUCGUUAUAUUAAUCUUCACAGUACACACAUGAUUUAAAUAAGAGAAUUGAUAACUAAAGUUGCCUAUUGAAUAGGAGAGAAUAAUGGAAAAAUAUCAUCAGUAAGUGAAUGAAUCACCCUAAGAAUCCUAAUCACAAGACUCAUUCAAUUGUAUAAUAUUUACAAAAUUAACACUUAUCACUCCAAUACUCAAGCCUUAGCACAGCAGCCUUAUUACUCCUGAGAGGUGGAACCAUUCUUAUGACUCCCUGAACUAGUAUCCCCCCUCAAAUUGUGUCCAGAAUGGAGACAGAGUUUGCGUCGAAAUUGUGCUAGACGAGUUUUUGUCAUUGACUUUGUAAAUAUAUCAGCAACUUGAUAUGCUGAGGGAAUGUAUCUCGUGAUCAGAACUCCUUGAGCAACGCGUUCUCUGACAUAGUCUAUAAAUCUUGAUUUUGGAUCAGUUACCAACACUCAAUAAAGUCUAUAAAUCUAUAUGCAGCCACUGAGUGUGUUGAUGGACAAGCAACUGCAAUUGGUCCUACUAGGGAUUGGAAUGCUAAUUUAGCUUCAGGUAUUUAACAGGACUUUUUGUCCAAAUGUAUUUAUGAACAAGUUCAUAAAAGGCAGGUUAGCUCUAUAUAUAACACAAGUAUAAUCUUGCAAUAUACUUGAUAAAAUUUUCUUUGAGCUGUUAUUUACACACCACCUGCAGUAGGUAUCCAGUCUUAAAUUAGUUAGAUAUUCAAUAAAAGGACUUUUUAUAUGAUUCCAAUAAUUCUCUACAUAAUAUGUUCCUUAAAACAAAAUUUGAUUCAAUUUAUUUUAACACCAUAAUUCUUUAUAAAAAAAAUAGCUACAAAAUUUCUUACAGUUAGUAAUUUAAUGGUCAUGGUCAGUAAACGGUCAGUAACUUAUUUUACAAAUCACUUUUUCCAUAAUUUGAUCAGUUAACAUGAUUUCUUCUGGUGCGUUAUUAUUUAUAAAUACUAAUAAUUACAUUGUAAAAUUUAUAAUUUAUUUUUAUUAAUAUAAUUUAUUUAAUUAAUUUAUAAUAUAAUAUUUUAAUUUACAUUUAAAAUUCACAUGUUCACGUCUAUUUUAAUGGAUUAAAAAAUUAUACAAAUAUAUAUUAUUUAAAAUAUUUCAAUUUAAUUUGUUCGAUUAAUUUACUAUUUUAAUUUAAUUUAUGUUCUAUUAACAAAUAUAAUAUUAAACUUUUAAUAGAUUAAAUAUUUUAUUAAAACUAUUAUAUGUUUUAAUAAUUUACUUAUAUUAAGGUUAGUAAUUAGAUAUAUUUGUCUAUACUAUAAAAUCUCAAUAUCAUACAAUACAUUAUUAAUAAAUAUACUACAUAAUUAGUUCAGGCGAGAAAGUGGGCAACAUGCUACAAACUAUAAUUCUUGCUAAGAAUUAGAAUUAAAUUAAAUUUGUAAUACUUUAAUAUAAAGAAAAACUAUAGUUCUUACUAAGAAUUAGAACCAAAUCAAAUUUUUAAUACUUUAAUGCAUUUCAAACUAAAUUUCGGUAUAGUUCUAAUACGAUUCUAAGUAAUUUUAGUACUAUCUCAAUUUGAUUUUAAUUUUUUUAUUUUAAUUUUAUUUCAAUUUAAAUUUUAAUUUUUACAAAUAAAAUCAUAAUAGCUUUUACGCAUAUUUUNNNNNUACAACUCUUGAUAAGAAUAUUUUAUUAUUUUAUGUAGUUAUUAAUUAUAUAAUUUUAAUUAAAAAAUGUAUGAAAUUAAUAUAUAAAUAUAUAUUAUAUUACUAAUAAUACAUUUAUAAUUGAUAUAAAAAAAGGAUGUAUAUAUCAUUCGAGUAUAAUAAUUUUUUAAAAAAUAUAUAUAUGUUAAUGAUAAUUUUAUUAAAUAACAGAUAUUAGCAAAUAUAAUAAAAAUUUGAAUAUUUCAAUUACAGUAAAAAAAUCAACUAAAAUGAUACAUUUUCUUAAUUUUAUUUUAUUAUAAUUUUUUUAUAACUUUGAUUAAAUAUAUUCAUAUAAUAAUGUGAUAUUAAGAUAAUAGGAGCCCAAAUUUAAUAGUCUAUUUGCAAUAAUAAUAAUAAUAUAUAAAAAAAUUAAUAAAGAGAUGAAAAAAUAACGGUAAAAUAUUGUUUAGUUUAUGAAAGUGUUAAAUUUGGUUGUGGAUAAAUAGAGUGGUUUAUUGAAGAUUUUGAAAUCAAAUGGACAUUCAAAGCCGCAAUAUAAAGAUUUAUUUGGCUUUAAAGAGAGAUAAAUCAACGUCAAUCAGACUGUGUAUCUUACUAGAGGUUCUUGUAUCCCACUUCUGAUUAGAUUGAUAAGAGAAUAAGAGACAGCUGAGGUUCAAGAGGUGAUUUGUUCAGAUCACAUGGGCAACUCAUACAAAAUUAAAUAUAAAAGGAAGUUUUUUCUUAGAAAUCUGAUAUAUUUUUCUAUGCUACAAAAUCUCAGUACAAGCGAGAUAGUGGGCAACAUGCUAAAAUAAAAAGCUAUAGUUCUGAUACUUUUAUCAUCAGAUUUUACUACAAUAUAUUUUAAUCUAUUAGUAAUUUUAACAGAUUUAUUAAAAAUUUUGAAAAUCCUUCAAUAAUUCUUAAUAUAAAACAUUAUAUAAAAAUUCACCAAUAGAUUUGAAAUCUGUUGGUAAUCUACUAGUAUUACUAACAAAUUUAAAAAUUUAUUGGAAAUUUAUAAAUUUAUAAAAUAAUUGGUAUUGAUAUUUAUCAACAGACUUAAAAUUUAUUAGUAAAUCAUUAACAAUUUUAAUCUGUUAGUAAAUUUAGGGGUGGAAAUGAAACAAACCGUUUGUGACCGUUUGUGAGCUAUUCGAGAUUCGACUCGAUAAAAACUUGACCGAACUCGACUCGAUUUCUAAACGAUUCAAACUCGAACUUAAUUUUUAGGCUUGUUUAGUAAACAAGGCAAACUUAAACCAUAUAGUGUCUUGUUAAGACUCGUGAGCUCGACUUGCGUUCGAAUUUAUGAGCAGACUGGUGAAUAGUCUCGUUAAGCAGACUGAAAUUAAUAUCAUAAGAGAAAUAAAUUUAACUCCUGCAUAUAUUUUCAUGAGGCAAAUCUAAAUUUUAUAAAAUUCAAUUCUAUAUUAUUUAAUUAUACUAUUAAAACUUGCAUAUUUGGAUUAUUAAGAGCUCAUUUUUAUAAGUUUAUAAGCUAAUUUUUAUAUGUGAAAGUCAGCUGCUUGCUUGAUGUGGGACGUCCCACAUCGGCGAAGUACAAAAAAUCAAAAUUGUAUAUAAUAAUUAGUAUGAAACUACUAAAUAACUUGAGUUAACCAUUUUGAGUUAGGUGGAAACUGAAUUCCAAGUUAUUUGGGUCAAAACUACCCCUGAGUCAGAGCUAGUGGCCCUGUCACAAUACCGAAGUUGAGCUUAUUAAUACUUAACUCGUCUAAAUUCAGUUCGAGUUCGAAAUGAGUAAAACUCGAGUUUGGCUUGAACUUAAAAAAAUUUUAACGAACUAAAUUUGAACUCUUCAAAUCUCAGCUCUACUCGUCGUUUACACCCUAAGUAAAAUUUUAAAAGUGUUUAAACUACUAACGGAUUUAAAAAUCCGUUACUAAAUAUUAUCAUCAAAUUAAUAAGUAUUAAAUUUAUUAACGGAUGCUAUCCACUAAUAAAUCUUUUAAUAAAUUUAAAAUAAAAUCCUACAAAAAAUUUCUGCAUUCUUUUUUUAUAACUCAUAUUUUUCAAAUUUUAAAUCCAUUGGUAAUUUUUUGAGAGAAAAAAAAAAAUUUUUUUUCAAAAUUUAGUAACGAGUCGUAAAUUUAUUAGUAAUUCACGUUUAUAAAUAUAACACAAACUCCUCUACUUUUAUCAUUCAUUCAUUUUAUAUCAUCCACCUUUCUUUCAUUUUUUUCACUUUCUCUCAUUUUCUUUUUUUCUAUUACAUUCUUUCAUUUUAUUUUUUUAUCUCAUAAUUUUUUUUUAUUUUUCUAUUAUUUUUCUUUCCUCUCUUAUCCUAUUUUCUCAUGGUUCUCUUUUAUCUUCUAUUAUUUUUUUCAUUCUUCAUAAUUUUCCUUUCAUUUUCUCCCUUUUCUUUUCCAUAUUUUUUUUUUCCUUUCCUCUCUAUACUUUUCAUUCAUAUUAGUUUUUUUAAUAUUAUUUUCUUCUAUUAUUUUCUUUCUAUUUACAUUUUUUCUAUUAUUUUCUCUUUAUUUAUUUUCUUCUCUAAGCAUUUGUUCACUUUUUUUCAUUUUUCUAAUCAUCUUUUUACUCAACUCUCAUUCAUUCUUUUUUUUCAUAAUUUUUAUUUUUCUAUUAUUUUCUUUAUUUUUCUCUUUUUUCUUUAUUUUUUAUUAUUUUCUCUCAUUUUAUACCAUUUAUUUUUUUAUUUUCACUUUUUUAGAUAUAAAUUAAAAACUUGGUAACAAUAAUAAUAUAAUUUUAAGUCUUAUUAAAUUAAUAAAAAAUUAUUUAAACUCUCAAUAGAUAUAUUAAUGAAUUGCAAUUCAUUGAUAAUUGACUAACAGAUUUCACAUCUGUUAAUAAAUUAUUUUUCUCUUAUACUAACGAAUUUAAAAUUUAUUAAUAAUUUAAAAUCUAUUAGUAAUAAUAGCGGGAAUUCCAUUAGUAAAUCCACUAGUUUACUGACGAAAUUAAAAACUGUUGGUAAAAAUUUAAUACCGACAUUUUAAUAACGGAUCGUAAUCUAUUAGAAAUCCCUUAUUAAUUAAUUUACCAACGAAUUUUUAUUAGAUUGCUAAUGGAAAAAUCAAUGCAUUAUUAAUAUAAAUUAAGAAGUUGAUUCUUAUCUUUACAAUAAGAUAUCUUUUAAACUCUUAAAAAUUUUGAAGCUAAAAUUGAAGAAACAUUCAUGACGUUAUAUUUUUCAUUUCAUGCAAGAUGAUAUCUGUUAUUGGAAUGCAUAUGAUUAUUUUAUUGAUAUAAAAUAAGUAUAAAGAAUAUACAAUUAAAAAGAUAAUUAUACUUAUCGAUCCGUUCGUAUCAUUUAAUUUUACUGUCUCUUUAUAAAUCUAUUUAUAUCCAUUUAAUUUUAAUCUCAUAUAGGUAAAUUAUAAGAGAUGAAGAGUUCUCCUUCCUUCCCUAUAAAAAGAGAAGGCCUCUCUUCCCUUCAAUAUUAGUACCUGAUUUUUUAUAAUUUAUAAUAUAAUAUACUAUAUAUUAAAUGUAUAGAAAUAAUUUAAUUAUUAUAAAUUUAAGUUAAUAUUAUUAAUAAUAAAAUAAAAUAAUAAAUAAAAUUUAAAAUGCAAAAUAUAUUUAGUGAGUUUAACAUUUCAAAAUUUUAUUAUUUUGAAAUAAUUUUAUAUNNNNNNNNNNNNNNNNNNNNNNNNNNNNNNNNNNNNNNNNNNNNNNNNNNNNNNNNNNNNNNNNNNNNNNNNNNNNNNNNNNNNNNNNNNNNNNNNNNNNNNNNNNNNNNNNNNNNNNNNNNNNNNNNNNNNNNNNNNNNNNNNNNNNNNNNNNNNNNNNNNNNNNNNNNNNNNNNNNNNNNNNNUUUUUUCCUCAUCUAUAUUAUAUACAAUUAGACUAUAAUAAUAUUUUUAAAAAUAUACAUUGAUAAUUAUUUAUUCAAUAAGGAAUAUUAUUUAAUAAAAUAAAAAAUCAAUAUUCUACAAUUAUAUUUAUAAUAUUUUAUUUAAAAAUAUAAAGUUAACAAAAUUAAUUAAUUUUCAAAUAAAUUUAAUUAAAUAUAAGGUACGGUUAUAAUAAAAUAUUAUUUUUAUGAAAAUCAAUUUAAUUAAUUCUCUAUAUUUUUAUUAAGAAUCAAAUAAAUUUAAUUUAAAAUUUUUAAAACUUUAAGCUAAUUAAACUAUAUAAUUUUAUUAAAGGCUAAAUAGAUUCUAACUUAAAAUGAUUUUUUAAUAAUAAAAUAUUAUUUUUAUAAUUUAAAAUAUUAAAAUUUAAUAUUUUAAUUAUCAUAAAAUUUUUAAAAAUAUAUAAAUAUAAUAAAUAAUUUUUAAAAUUAUAAAAAAAAAAGUUUUAUCAUAUAAAAAUUUUUAUUAUUAAAAAAUAAUAUUAUGUUAGAUUAUGAUUUAUUUGACUUUUGAGUAAUAAUAUAGAGAUUUAAUUUAUUUAAAAUUUUGAAUUAAAAUUAUUUAACUCUUCAAUAAAAGUAGAGACUUAAUUGCAUUUAUAUUUAUAAAAUUAUUAUUAUAAAAUGAUAAAUUUAAUUUGUUAUUAAAUAAUAUUUUUAUAUGAAAAAUUAAUUAAAAAAAUUACAAAAUGUGGCGCAUAUAAACAAUUCCCAAUUUCCUUUUGUUAUCCUUACCACAUUACCAGCAGGCAGAGAGCCUUCCUUUUCCGAUUCUCUAUUUCCGUUUCUCAUUCCCAAUCUCCGAUCCAUCCCUAAAAACGACUGACAAGAGAUCGAUGAUGAUGAAGAUGCCUUGGAGGAGGAAGAGCAGGAGCUUCCAUCUUCAGCUACAAGGGGCAAUUGGUACCAUUCAAUCUCCAUUCCUAUUCUUAUUUACCAAUUAUUGUCAUUCUUCUACUUCCACACUUGAAGAUGCACGCUUCUUGACAAAUAACUUCAAAUCUGCUUCUUUUACCCACCUUGAUGAUGCCAUUGCUUCCUUCAAUCAUGUAAUUCAUAAGCAUCCUCUGCCUUCUAGGGUUCCAUUUAAUAGAUUCUUAUCUGCCCUUGUGAAAAUGAAACAAUAUCACACUGUCCUUUCCAUGUCCAAAACAAUUGAAUUGCUAGGAAUCUCUCACGAUGUUUAUUCUCUUAGCAUAUUAAUUAAUUGCUUCUGCCAUUUACACAUUGUGGAUUUUGGCUUCUCUGUUUUUGGUAAGAUGCUCAAAUUCGGAUUGGAGCCUACCACUGUGACGUUUACUACCUUAAUUAAUGGGCUUUGUAUGGAGAGUAAAAUCCAUAAAGCAGUGGAAUUUUUCGAUGAUAUGGUUGCACGUGGUUAUCAACCUAAUGUUCGUACUUUCAAUGUGAUAGUAAACGGAUUGUGUAAAUUUGGGAAAACAAACGUGGCUAUUGGGCUACUAAAGGGAAUGGCUGAUAGAGGUUGUGAGCCAAAUGUUGUGACAUACAAUGCAAUCAUUGACGCACUUUGCAAGGAUGAGCUAGUUGGUGAAGCUUUAGAGCUCUUCUCUCAAAUGAGGAAUAAGGGCAUUUCACCUGAUGUCAUCACUUACACUAGUUUAAUUCAUAGUGUUUGCAAAUUAGGCCAAAAGAACCAAGCUUUGGCCUUGAUGAAUGAAAUGGUUGAGUGGAACAUAUUACCAAAUGUUUAUACCUUCAAUGUAUUGAUUGAUGCUCUUUGUAAGGAUGGAAUGGUUUCAGAGUCUCAAAAUACAUUCAAUGUAAUGAUUCAAAGAGGUGUAGAGCCUGAUGUGGUCACAUACAAUUCCUUAAUUGAUGGUCUUUGCAUUUCAGACCAAUUCAAGGAAGCUUUGGCCUUGUUGAAACAAAUGGUGGGGAGGAAUAUAUCCCCUGAUGUUUUUACCUUCAAUAUAUUGAUCGACACUCUUUGUAAGAAAGGACUGGUUUCAAAUGCACAGAAUAUAAUCAAAAUAAUGAUUCAAAGAGGUGUGGAACCUGAUGUUGUCACUUAUAAUUCAUUGAUGGAUGGAUAUUGUCUAUGCAAGCAAAUUGAUAAGGCUAGAAAGGUAUUUGAUCUGAUGGUGACCAAUGAAAUAGCUGACAUUUUAGGCUACAGCAUUUUGAUCAAUGGAUAUUGUAAGUGCAAAAUGAUAGAUGAUGCAGAGGAACUUUUUGAUGAAAUGUCUCAUAAAGGUUUAGUUCCUAAUGUUGUUACUUAUCAUACUCUUAUAAAGGGUAUGUUUCAAGCAGGGAGGCCCCAAAAUGCAAAAGAGCUUUUUAAGGAUAUGUGCUCUCAUGGUCAACAGCCAGAUAUAGUAACCUUCUCAAUUAUGAUUGAUGGCUUGUGUAGACAGGGGAAUCUCGAUGAGGCACUCGCACUAUUGAAAGCAAUGGAGAAAAGUCGGUUGAAGCCUAAUGUUGUGAUCUAUAGCAGUCUGAUCAAUGGUAUGUGCAAAGUUGGGAAGAUUAAUGAUGCCAAGGAACUAUUUUCUAGUCUUUUUGAAAUUGGUUUACAACCUGAUGUUUAUGUAUAUAGCGCAAUUAUGAAAGGACUCUGCCAACAGGGAUUAAUGGAUGAAGCGUAUAAGGUAUUUAAAGACAUGGAAAAGGUAGGAUGUUUACCAAAUAAUUGUUGUUAUAAUAUCAUCAUUCAAGGGUUUCUCAAGCAUGAGGAUUUACCAAAAGCAUCAGAACUAAUCAACGAAAUGGUUGAUAAGGGGUUCUCUGCUGAUGCUGCUACCACAGAAUUGGUAGUACAUUUAUUGCGGAAUAAUGAUCUCAUUCUGAGGCUUUUAAAGGCGCGCAACUAGGGAUUAGCAAACUAAAGUUGUUAUAUCUUGACCAUUCAAGUGUAUCUUGGAGCGCAACUUGGUAAUUACCUUUUUCAAAUAUAAUAGAUAUGUAAUUUAACUGACUUCCUCAAAUAUCAUUUUUAAUUUCAAUCAGCUGUGAUUCUCUUUCACAAAAUGAAAAUUUCUAACACCGCAAAUGACCUGUGGUGGAAACCAUGAUAUGUGUGUGCCUUUCGCUUGAAUUCAGAUAUGGACUUGAUCUCUUUGAUAUAAGAUUGUUGGAGAAUGGAGGUCAUGGAUUACUAAUGAUCAAGUUGCUGGUAAACCCACCAUCUCCUUUACAAUUUUAUUUUUGGUUGCUACUACAGCCUUAACUCGAGAGCUCAGUCCUAAAAUUGAGUUGAGAACUAAAACUAAUUGGUUUCAUACUACAAUGCUUAACAAUCUUUAUCUAUUAUUAUUUUUGUGCUCAAUGACCUUUUAAAAUGCUAUCAUUUCUCUUGUAGGUACUUGCAAGGAUAUGAUUAGAACUUCACCUUUUUAACAAUAAAGGUGUAAGCAAUUCUUUUUGCUGAAUUAUUAUAUUUUUAAUAAUAAUGAAAAUAAUGAUUAUAAACCAGUGUGCUUUAAUUGAGAAUUGAUUUAACAAUUAGACUACCCUAUAAAUGCAGGGUGCAAGAUACAGUACCAGAGUACAAGGUAAGAGAAUCACUAGACUUCUACGGCUGUUGGUUGGAAUAAAUGUCACUAAAAGUAUAGACAACAGAAAAUGUUAUGGGAAUUGAGGGAAAAGCAAAAAAAGACUAUGAAAAUCAGACAUAUGCAGCCACUGAGACAAGCAACUGCAAUUGGUCCUACUAGAGAUUGAAAUGCUAGUUUAGCUUCAGCUAUUUAACAGGACUUUUUGUCCAAAUUUAUUUAUGAACAAGUUCAUAAAAGGCAGGAUAGCUCUAUAUAUAACUCAGCUAUAAUCAAAGAAGGUGGCAGGAAAAAUGUCAAUACAAUGAAACUUCAUCUGAUUAAAUGGAAUACUCUUUGGUUGCCUAAAAAGAAUGGAGGCUUAGGCAUGAAAGAGAUCUGUCUUCAAAUUCAAGCUCUUUUGUUCAAAUGGCUUUGGAGAUUUGGAAAUCAUAGGGAUUCACUCUGAGUUCAACUUCUUCUAUCCAAAUAUUCUUUCAAUUUGGAGAAGGGUAUCUCUCUUGCUCCAGGAAAUUGCAUUUCUUCCCUUCAGAAAGACAUUCGAGGGUAUGCUACUUUCGAUGAACUCUUUCUCCUCUCCUUGAAUUCAUAUCAGAUUUGCUGUGGGGAAUGAGAUGAAAAUGAAAUUUUGGAAUGAGAGACGAUCGGUUGGUAAUAUUGCUCUCAAAUUCUCCUUUAGCAGACUAUUAAAUUUAGCUGCUAACCUAGAUGUGUUGAUGUUAAAUACGGGCUGUUGGGUGAAGAGCAAAUGGGAAUGGGAAAUAAUUGAAUUGUCAAUAUUAUACUUAAUCUUUUAUAUUAUUUCUAAUAAUAUAUUUUAUUAUUUAAAUAAAUUUAUUUUAGAGUUUUUAUGAAUUUAAAAUUUUAAGUUCCAUAAAUAAAUGUGGCAAUAUUUAUGUAAGAUUGUAAAUUCAAUAUUUUUUAAAAAGGUAGUUUUAGAAAAAAUAAAAUCGAUUUUGUAAACAACUUUUAAAAAAUGGAAAACCCAAUUACUUUAAAAAUAUCCAUUUCCAUAUAAAUUUAAUUAAAAAAUAAAUAUUUGCUUCUUUUUUUUUUAACUUUCAUUCCCCAUUAUUAUUUAUAAAUACUAAUAAUUACAUUGUAAAAUUUAUAAUUUAUUUUUAUUAAUAUAAUUUAUUUAAUUAAUUUAUGAUAUAAUAUUUUAAUUUGCAUAUAAAAUCCACAUGUUCACUACUAUUUUAAUGGAUUAAAAAACUAUAUAAAUAUACAUUAUUUAAAAUAUUUGAAUUUGAUUUGUUCAAUUAAUUUACUAUUUUAAUUUAAUUUAUGUUCUAUUAACAAAUAUAAUAUUAAAAUUUUCAUAGAUUGAGUAUUUUAUUAAAACUAUUAUAUAUUUUAAUAAUUUACUUAUAUUAAGACUAUUAUUAAUUAUUAAAAUUCUAAUACUAUUAAAAUAAAAAAUUUUAUUUUUUUUAAUAAGAGUACAGUUUUGUGAAUAAUAUUUUUUAUAUAUUAAAAUAAAAUUAUAAAUAAAAUAAUUAAAAAUAAAUAUUAUACAUGUUAAAAAAUUAAUAAUUAUUAAAAUUUGAAUAAUUAAUAUUAUUAAAAUACAAAUGGAAUUUAUAAAUAAUUAAUUUAGUGUGAAUAUUUCAUAUAAUUUGUGAUAAUCUAUCCCAUUUCAAACUCCUAACAAAAAAAUCUACUGACCUAUAAACUAAAUCUGCCAUCUUAAGAAACUUAAAACCAUAAAACCAAGAAAUUUUAUUUAUUCUCAGAAUUAUAAACUUAACCAUCACUUAAUUACCAUAUUUACCGAUUAACAUUAAUAAAUUAAAAUGAAAAUAAUUACAUAAUUAAUAAAAAUUCUUCUUCACUGCUUUAAUUUGCAAUUUUUUUUAAAACCAAUUAAUAAACUAAUCCAGCUAAAAAAUUUUAUUUAAUGCUAAAAAUCUAAAUUUUAUCAGAAAAAUCUAAUCUUUAUCCAUAUAUAUAAAUUGAAUCCCAAUUACUCUUCUCUCCUAUAAAAUUUCCUUUUGAGUUUUCUCACUCUCAAACAUUUUCUUAACUUAGAAAAUUUUAAUCAAUAAUGCCAUCGUGGAGAGCUUCUAACAUGAAAAUGGAUUCUCGCUCGAAAAUUUUAGGUCAACGACAUGUAACCAAGUCAUCUUUUUCCUACAAGUUACUUUCUAGUUCGACUGAUCAAAAAACUAAAAUACCGCAAAUUCAAAAGGGUUAUGUAGCAAUAUACGUGGGUGACGAGAGAAAGAGAUAUCAAGUUCUAAUAGAGAAUCUAGAGUUUUCGACAUUACAAGAACUUAUUAAACAGUCUCACGAUAGUGAUUUCGACUCCAAGAUUGAUGGACCAAUCGUGCUUACUUGCACUACUGAUAGGUUUGAUGAACUCCUGAAAUUUAUAAAUGGUUGACAUAUAAAACUUUAGAGAGUUUUAAAUAAUUAUUUUUUAUAUGUUUAAAUUACUAAUAAAUCCUUAUAUUUUAUCAAAAUUAGCUAUUUAAUCCCUAUUUUCAAAUCAUUAAAUUAAAACAUUUUGAAUUUUAUAAAGUCAAACUCUUUGAUAUUCUUAACGAAUAAAAUAUUAGUAAAUAUAUUUUUAAUUUUAAUUAGAAAAAUUAAAUUAUAUAUAUAAUUAAAAAAUAAAUAAAUAAUAUAAAAAUUUAUUUUAAUCGAAUAACAUAAAAAUAAAAAAUUAAAUAGUCAAUUUUGAUAAAAUAUAAUAACCAAAUAAUAAUUCAGACCCUUCAUGGCAAUUUCUCAGUAAUUUUAUCGAUUAUAUCUACCAUUUAUAUACCUCCUUUUUCAAGUUUUAUUUUUUCUAUCAUUGAUUUUUGUCAAUUUUUUAUUAUUUUAUCCGAUUUAAAUAAAUAACUUCUAUUUUAUUAUUUUAUUAAUUUUUUUAUUAUUAUUCUAAAGUUAUUGUUCACUUUCUUUCAUUAUAAUAAUAUAUAAUUGACUAUUAUAAUCUUAUUUAAUUUUAUAUUAUUUUCAAAUUAAUCUAUCAUUGAUUAUUAUUUUUUCAAAUAAGUAUUCAAAAUAUUUCUUAAUAUUUAAUAAAAUUUAAUAUUUUUAAAAUAGUAUAAUUGAAAAUUUUAUAAAAUAAAUUAUUUUUUAAUAUGUGUGAAAAAUUUAUAUUCAGAAAAUAAAUUUUUAUUAAAAAAUAAAUAAACUAUUAUAAUUAAAUCAUCAUUAUUUUCAUCUAUUUUUCACUCAUUAAAAUAUAUUUUUAAUGAUAUCAUUAUUAAUAUUUGUAAAUAUAUUUUUUAAUAUAAGUUAUCCAUCAAUUAUUUAUGAUUUAUUAUUGUAGAGUUGAUUUUUAAUUAUAUUUACUGUAAAAAAAAAAUCUUUUCACUAUUGUUAAAACAUGUAAAUUUAUAAAAAAAUUAUAAAAAUAAUAUAAUAUUUUAAUACAGGAUUUACUAUUAAAAUUUAUUUUUUUAAAAAAAAAAUUUAACUCAUUAAAAUUUAUUUUUGUAUAAUUUUAAUUUUAUAAAUAGAUUAAUAACAAAGUAAGAUAAAUAAAAAAAAUUAUAAUUUAAUAAUAAAAAUAGUAUUAUAAAAAUAAAUUAAAUAAUGAGUGAAUAACUUAAAAAAAAAAUUAAGUGGAGAUUUGAAUUUGAAAUCUUAAAAAUGAAAAGUAAAUUUUUUGAAUUGAAAAAUAAUAUAGAAGAUGAGAGAUUAAAUAAUAAAAAUUUCUUUGAUAAAUAUAUUAAAUAAUUUAAAAUUAUAAAAUAUAAUUAUAAUUUAAUUAAAUAAUUUUGAAAUAAGGUCGAAUUGGUAAAUUUUUAAAAUAUAUAAAAAUUUAAUAAUAAUUUUUCAUAUUUUAAGAAAAAUUAUCUAUACACCUUAAAAAAAUUUCAAAAAUUUCAAAAGGCUUAGGAGUCUGUCAAUGUGCACUAUCUUGCUAUUCGUUUGACACCAAACCCUUAGAUAAAGGUAAUAUAGAAAUUAAAACUUUAUUUAUUUCAUAAAAAAUAUUUUAUAAAAAAUAUUACACGUAUAGUUUUAAUAAUAAUAAAAAAAACAGCUAAUUUAGGGGUUAAGUGUCACUUUAUAAUUUUUGUGUUUUUAUUUUUCUAAAAACUAAUUAUAUAAAAAUAAAUAUAAAUUUUUUAUAUAAUAAUAAGAAAUAAUAUAAAUUUUUAAAAUAUGAUAUUUAAUAGCAAAAUAAUAAUUUUUAAAAUAAUAAAAUUUUAAAUUUUAUAAAAAAAUUCACUGAUUGCCCACAUAUAUAUAUAUAUAUAUAUAAAUUGAAUUCCAAUUACUCUUCUCUACUAUACAAUUUUUUUUCGAGUUUCUCACUCUUAAAUCUUUUAUUAAUUUAAAAAAAUUUUACCAAUAAUAUCAAGGCGGGAGCUUUUUAGCAGGAAAAUGAAAUCUCUUUUUAAGAUUUUAGACACCGUUAUACAAUUAAGUCAUAUUUUUCUUAUAAAUUACUCUCAAGUUUGACUAAUUAGAAAGCUAAAAUUCCACAAAUUUAAAUAGGCUAUGUAGCCAUAUACAUAAAUUUUGAAGGUAAGAGAUAUCAAAUUUCAGUAGUGAAUCUGAAGUUUCCAGUAUUACAAGAACUGAUUAAACAGUCUUAAAACAGUAAUCUCGACUCCAAGAUUGAUAACCAAUCGUACUUGCUUGCACUACUGACAAAUUUAAUGAACUACUGAAAUUUAUAGAGGUUAUCAUAUGAAACUUUAGAGAGUUUUAAAUAAUUCUUUUUUAUAUGUUUAAAUUACUAAUAAGUCCUUCCAUUUUAUUAAAAUUAAUCAUUCAAUCUCUAUUUCUAAAUUAUUCAUUUAAAAUAUUUUAAAUUUUAUAAACUCAAAUUCUUUAAUAUUUUUAUCUAAUAAAAUAUUAGUAAAUAUAUUUUUAGCUUUAAUUAGAAAAAAUUAAAUUAUAUAUAAUAUAAAAUUUUAUUUUAACCAAAUGACAAAAUUAAAAAAUUAAACGGUCAAUUUUGACAAAAUAUAAAAGUCAAAUAAUAAUCCACUCUUUUCUAUCUUAAAUUAAUUUUUUGGGUACUUCAUGGAAAAUUCUCAAUAAUAAUCUACUCUUUUAUAUAAAAAUAUUAAUAAAUUAUGUUUACACAACAUAUCAUAGAAAUUAGAUAAUAAAUUUUACUUAUAAAAAAAUUUAAAAUAUUUUUAAUACGGAUAAACUAAUUAAUAAAUAUUUUUAUAAAACUAAAAAAUUAAUUAAUAAAUUUUUAAUAUCAUAAAAACUAAAUAAUAAAAUGUUUAAUAAUUAAAACUAAUAAAAUGACUAAUUAAUAUAUUUUUUAAAAUUUAAAGGAUUUUUUAUUUUAUUUUUCAAAAUUAAUUAAUAAAUUUUUUUAUAUUAAAUAAUAAUUUUUUAUAAUAAUAAAAUAAAGAUAUAUUUUAUAAAUUAAUUAAAUAAAUAUUUAUUUAAUAAUAUGAAUUUGACUGAUGAAAUAAAAUUUUAAAAUUUUUAACGAUAAUUUAAUAAAAGUUAUAUAUAUAUAAAAAAAAAAAUCGCAAUGACAAUAAACAUAUUCUUAACUUUUCUCGUUAAUGGCACGUAUAUAACUAUUAAUAAUAUAAGGUUUUAAAGUGAAAAUACAUAUUUUCUCCAAAUGUCAUAUAGGAAAAAGAAGAAAUGAAAUAUCACUUAAAAUUAUUAUAAAUUAAUAAAUAAUAUAACUUAUAAAUUAUAUAAAUUUACUGUGAGUAGAAAUUGAACUUGUUAUGUAUUUAAUUAUUAUCAUAUUUUAAAUUUAUUAUACAAGAAAAUAAUAAUUUUUUAUUUAAUAAUAACUUUUAUUGUUAUUAAAUUUUUUUUAUCACUAUAUUAAUUAUUAUUAUAUAAAUUUAAUUUGUUAUUAAAUAAUAUUUUUAUAUGAAAAAUUAAUAAAAAAAAUACAAAAUGUGGUGCAUAUAAACAACUAGUAACGCAUUUCCUUUUGUUAUCCUUACCACUUUACCAGCUGGCAGAGAGCCUUCCUUUUCCGAUUCUCUAUUUCCUUUCCUCAUUCCCAAUCUCCGAUCCAUCCCUAAAAACAACUGAGGAGAGAUCGAUGAUGAUGAAGAUGCCUUGGAGGAGGAAGAGCAGGAGCUUCCAUCUUCAGCUACAAGGGGCAAUUGGUACCAUUCAAUCUCCAUUCCUUUUCUUAUUUACCAAUUAUUGCCAUUCUUCUACUUCCACACUUGAAGAUGCACGCUUCUUGACAAAUAACUUCAAAUCUGCUUCUUUUACCCACCUUGAUGAUGCCAUUGCUUCCUUCAAUCAUGUAAUUCAUAAGCAUCCUCUGCCUUCUAGGGUUCCAUUUAAUAGAUUCUUAUCUGCCCUUGUGAAAAUGAAACAAUAUCACACUGUCCUUUCCAUGUCCAAAACAAUUGAAUUGCUAGGAAUCUCACACGAUGUUUAUUCUCUUAGCAUCUUAAUUAAUUGCUUCUGCCAUUUACACCUUGUGGAUUUUGGCUUCUCUGUUUUUGGUAAGAUGCUCAAAUUGGGAUUGGAGCCUAACAUUGUGACAUUUACGACCUUAAUUAAUGGGCUUUGUAUAGAGAGUAAAAUCGACAAAGCAGUGGAAUUUUUCGAUGAUAUGGUUGCACGUGGUUAUCAACCUGAUGUUCGUACUUUCAAUGUGAUAGUAAACGGAAUGUGUAAAUUUGGGAAAACAAAUGUGGCUAUUGGGCUACUGAAGGGAAUGGCUGAUAGAGGUUGUGAGCCAGAUGUUGUGACAUACGGAGCAAUCAUUGACGCCCUUCGCAAGGAUGAGCUAGUUGGUGAGGCUUUAGAGCUCUUCUCUCAAAUGAGGAAUAAGGGCAUUUCACCUGAUGUCAUCACUUACACUGGUUUAAUUCACGGUGUUUGCAAAUUAGGCCAAAAGAACCAAGCUUUGGCCUUGAUGAAUGAAAUGGUGGAGCAAAACAUAUUACCAGAUGUUUAUACCUUCAAUGUAUUGAUUGACGCACUUUGUAAGGAUGGAAUGGUUGCAGAGGCUCAAAAUACAUUCAAUGUAAUGAUUCAAAGAGGUGUAGAGCCUGAUGUGGUCACCUACAAUUCCUUAAUUGAUGGUCUUUGCAUUUCAGACCAAUUCAAGGAAGCUUUGGCCUUGUUGAAAGAAAUGGUCGGGAGGAACAUAUCCCCUAGUGUUUUUACCUUCAAUAUAUUGAUCGACACUCUUUGUAAGAAAGGACUGGUUUCAAAUGCACAGAAAAUAAUCAAGAUAAUGAUUCAAAGAGGUGUGGAACCUGAUGUUGUCACUUAUAAUUCAUUGAUGGAUGGAUAUUGUCUGUACAGGGAAAUUGAUAAGGCUAGAAAGGUAUUUGAUCUGAUGGUGACCAAUGAAAUAGCUAACAUUUUUAGCUACAGCAUUUUGAUCAAUGGAUAUUGUAAGUGCAAAAUGAUAGAUGAUGCAAAGGAACUUUUUGAUGAAAUGUCUCUUAAAGGUUUAGUUCCUAAUGUUGUUACUUAUUCUACUCUUAUAGAGGGUAUGUUUCGAGCAGGGAGGCCCCAAAAUGCAAAAGAGCUUUUUAAGGAUAUGUGCUCUCAUGGUCAACAGCCAGAUAUAGUAACCUUCUCAAUUAUGAUUGAUUGCUUGUGUAGACAGGGGAAUCUCGAUGAGGCACUCACACUAUUGAAAGCAAUGGAGAAAUGUCAGUUGAAGCCUAAUGUUGUGAUCUAUAGCAGUCUGAUCAAUGGUAUGUGCAAAGUUGGGAAGAUUAAUGAUGCCAAGGAACUUUUUUCUAGUCUUUUUGAAAUUGGUUUACAACCUGAUGUUUAUGUAUAUAAUGCAAUUAUGAAAGGACUCUGUCAACAAGGAUUAAUGGAUGAAGCGUAUAAGGUAUUUAAAGACAUGGAAAAGGUAGGAUGUUUACCAGAUAAUUGUUGUUAUAAUAUCAUCAUUCAAGGGUUUCUCAAGCAUGAGGAUUUACCAAAAGCAUCAGAACUAAUCAACGAAAUGGUUGAUAAGGGGUUCUCUGCUGAUGAUGCUACCACAGAAUUGGUCGUACAUUUAUCACAGAAUAAUAAUCUCAUUCUGAGGCUUUUAAAGGUGCGCAAUGAGGGAUCAGCAAACUAAAGUUGUUAUAUCUUGACCAUUCAAGUGUAUCUUGGACCGCAACUUGGUAAUUACCUUUUUCAAAUAUAAUAGAUAUUUUAUUUAACUAACUUCUUCAAAUAUCAUUUUUAAUUUCAAUCAGCUGUGAUUCUCUUCCACAAAAUGAAAAUUUCUAACACCGCAAAUGACCUGUGGUGGAAACCGUGAUAUGUGUGUGCCUUUCGCUUAAAUUCAGAUAUAGACUUGAUCUCUUUGAUAUAAGAUUGUUGAAGAAUGGAGGUCUUGGAUUACAAUUUUAUUUUUGGUUGCUACUACAGCCUUAACUCCAGAGCUCAAUCCUAAAAUUAAGUUGAGAACUAAAACUAAUUGGUUUCAUACUACAAUGCUUAAGAAUCUUUAUCUAUUAUUAUUUUUGUGCUCAAUGACCUUUUAAAAUGCUAUCAUUUCUCUUGUAGGUACUUGCAAGGAUAUGAUUAGAACUUUACUUUUCUAACAAUAAAGGUAUAAGCAAUUCUUUUUGCUUAAUUAUUAUAUUUUUAAUAAUAAUGAAAAUAAUGAUUAUAAACCAGUGUGCUUUAAUUGAGAAUUGAUUUAACAAUUAGACUACCCUAUAAAUGCAGGGUGCAGGAUGUACAAUCCCAGAGUACAUGGUAAGAGAAUCACUAGACUUCUACGGCUGUUGGUUGGAUGAAAUGUCACUAAAAGUAUAGACAACAGAAAAUGUUAUGGGAAUUGAGGGAAAAGCAAAAGAAGACGAUGAAAAUCAGACGUAUGCAGCCACUGAAUGUGUUGAUGGACAAGCAACUGCAAUUGGUCCUACUAGCGAUUGGAAUGCUAGUUUAGCUUCAGCUAUUUAACAGGACUUUUUGUCCAAAUUUAUUUAUGAACAAGUUCAUAAAAGGCAGGAUAGCUCUAUAUAUAACACAGGUAUAAUCAAAGAAGGUGGCAGGAAAAAUGUCAAUACAAAGAAACUUCAUCUGAUUAAAUGGAAUACUCUUUUGUUGCCUAAAAAGAAUGGAGGCUUAGGCAUGAAAGAGAUCUCUCUUCAAAUUCAAGCUCUUUUGUUCAAAUGGCUUUGGAGAUUUGAAAAUCAUAGGGAUUCACUCUGAGUUCAACUUCUUCUAUCCAAAUAUUCUUUCAAUGUGGAGAAGGGUAUCUCUCUUGCUCCAGGAAAUUGCAUUUUUUCCCGUCAGAAAGACAUUCGAGGCUAUGCUACUUUCGAUGAACUCUUCCUUCUCUCCUUGAAUUAAUAUCAGAUUUGCUGUGGGGAAUGAGAUGACAAUGAAAUUUUGGAAUGAGAGACGAUCGGUUGGUAAUAUUGCUCUCAAAUUCUCCUUUAGCAGACUAUUAAAUUUAGCAGCUAACCUAGUUGUGUUGAUGUUAAACAUUAGCUGUUGGGUGAAGAACAAAUGGGAAUGGGAAAUAAUUGAAUUGUCUAAAAUAUACUUAAUCUUUUAUAUUAUUUCUAAUAAUAUAUUUUAUUAUUUAAAUAAUUUUUAUGAAUUUAAAAUUCUAAUUUCCAUAAAUAAAUGUGGUAAUAUUUAUGUGAGAUUGUAAAUUCAAUAUUUUUUAAAAAGGUAGUUUUAGAAAAAAUAAAAUCGAUUUUGUAAACAAAUUUUGAAAAAUGGAAAACCCAAUUACUUUAAAAAUAUCCAUUUCCAUAUAAAUUUAAUUAAAAAAUAAAUAUUUGCUUCUUUUUUUUUUUAACUUUCGUUCCCCAUUAUUAUUUAUAAAUACUAAUAGUUACAUUGGAAAAUUUAUAAUUUAUUUUUAUUAAUAUAAUUUAUUUAAUUAAUUUAUAAUAUAAUAUUUUAAUUUGCAUAUAAAUUCCACAUGUUCACUCCUAUUUUAAUGGAUUAAAAAAUUAUAUAAAUAUACAUUAUUUAAAAUAUUUUAAUUUGAUUUGUUCAAUUAAUUUACUAUUUUAAUUUAAUUUAUGUUCUAUUAACAAAUAUAAUAUUAAAAUUUUUCAUAGAUUGAGUAUUUUACAUAGAAUAAAAAUAUAAAAUUAUUUAGAAUUUUGUCAUAUCUUUCAAAUUAUAAAUCACUAAGUACAAUUUAUUAUUGAAAAUUAAUAAUUUUAAAUAAAAUAAAAAUAUAUUAUUAUUGUUAUUAAUUUUGAAAUUUAUAUUGUAUUAGGAUAAAGUUUUUUAGUUAUAAUUUAUAUAUAAUUUGACUAUAAUAAUUUUUUUAAAAAAAUGUAUAUUAACGGUAAUUUUAUUAAAUAACAGAUAUUAGCAAAUAAAAUUAAAAUUUGAAUAUUUCAAUUAUAGUAAAAAAAUCAACUAAAAUUAUUUAUUUUCUUAAUGUUAUUUUAUUUUAAUUCUUUUAGAUACUUUGAUUAAAUAUAUUCAUAUAAAAUGUGAUAUUAAGAUAAUAGGAGCCCAAAUUUAAUUGCCUAUUUGCAAUAAUAAUAAUAAUAAUAAUAAUAAUAAUAAUAAUAAUAAUAAUAAUAAUAAUAAUAAUAAUAAUAAUAUUUAAUAAUAAUAAUAAUAAUAAUAUUUAAUAAUAAUAAUAAUAAUAAUAUUAUCAUUAUUAUUAUUAUUAUUAUUAUUAUUAUUAUAUAAAAAAUUAGAUAAUUAAUAAAAAUUCCUCUUCACUAGGGUGAGCAGUAUUCAGUUCAAACCGAAAAAAUCGACCGAAUCGAAUUAAUUUGAAAAUUCAGUUCGGUUUUUUAUUUAUUUCGAUUCAGUUCGGUUUUAAAUUUCAGAAAUUUUGGUCAAAUCGAUUCGGUUCGAUUUUAAUCAGAAAAAAAUCGAAAAAACCGAACCGAACCGAUUAGUAAUAAUAAUAUAGUUUUUUAAUAAUAUAGAGAAAUUAAAUCAUAUUAAAAUUAAAAUAUUUUAAUUAAAUUUUAAAAUAUUAAAAAUAAAUUGUAAAAAAUAAAAAAAUUAUUAAAAAUUGAAACCGAUUAAACCGAAUCGAAUCGAACCGAAUCAGACCGGUUCGGUUCGAUUCGGUUUCUGACCAAAAUCGAUUCGGUUCGGUUUUCAUAAAUACUAAAAUUUCAAUUUUCGGUUUAUUCAGUUCGAUUCGGUUUUGAACAGAACCGACCGAAUGCUCACCCCUAUUCUUCACUGCUUUAAUUUGCAACUUUUUUAAAAUCAAUUAAUAAACUAAUCCAGCUAAAAUAUUUUAUUUAAUGCUAAAAUUCUAAAUUUUAUCUCACUUGUUAUCCAUAUAUAUAAAUUGAAUUUCAAUUACUCUUCUGAAUUUCCUUUCGAGUUUUUUCACUCUCAAAUCUUUUUUUAAUUUAGAAAAGUUUGAUCAAUAAUGUCAUUGUGGAGAGUUUUUAACAGGAAAAUGGAUUCUCUCCCUAGGAUUUUAGGUCAAUGAUAUGCAAUCAAGUCAUUUUUUUCUUAUAAAUUACUCUCCAGUUCAACUGAUCUGAAAACUAAAACACCGCAAAUUAAAAAGGGCUAUGCAACCAUAUACGUGGAUGACGAGGGCAAGAGAUAUCAAAUUCCAAUAGAGAAUCUAAAGUUUUCGACAUUAUAAGAACCGAUUAAACAGUUUCAUGAUAGUGAUCUCGACUCCAAGAUUGAUGGGCCAAUCGUGUUGCUUACACUACUGAUAAGUUUGAUAAACUGCUAAAACUUACAAGAGAUUGUCAUAUGAAACUUUAAAAAAAUUUGAAUAAUUCUUUUCUAUAUGAUUGAAUUACUAAUAAAUUUUUAUGUUUUAUUAAAAUUACAUAUUCGAUUUCUAUUUCGAAAUCACUCAAUUAAAAUAUUUUGAGUUUUAUAAAAUCAAAAACUUUAAUAUUCUUAUCGAAUAAAAUAUUAGUAAAUAUAACAAAUAAAAUUGAAAAUGCCAAAUAUAUGAAAUGAGUUUGAGCAUUUUAAAAUUUUAUUAUAUUGAAAUCAUUUUGUAUAUUAAUUUUUUAUUAUAUUAAUUAAAAUUGUAAUAUUAUUCAAAUAAAAAAUGCUUUAAAUAACUUUUGUAAAAGUAAAGCUUGGUAAAAAAAUUAAUUUAAAAUAAAAUAAUUAAUAAUAAAAAAUUAUAUAAAAUAAAAAUCAAUUAGAUUUUUCAUGAAAUUUUAUUCAAUAUUAAAAAUAAAAUUAACUAUUUAUAUAACCGCCUUUAAUUAGGUACCCAAUAUUGUAUAAAAAAAAUAAUAUAGAAGUAAUAUAUAUGUAUAAUUAACAUACACAAUGUCUACAAAUAGGCAAUAGCCAAUAGCACUUUAGCAAUGAUAAAUUAUUAUUAUAUAAAUUUAAUUUGUUAUUAAAUAAUAUUUUUAUAUGAAAAUUUAAUAAAAAAUUACAAAAUGUGGUGCAUAUAAACAACAGAGUAAUGCAUUUCCUUUACCAGCAGGCAGAGAGCCUUCCUUUUCCAAUUCUCUAUUUCCUUUCCUCAUUCCCAAUCUCCGAUCCAUCCCUAAAAACAACUGAAGAGAGAUAUGAUGAUGAAGAUGCCUUGGAGGAGGAAGAGCAGGAGCUUCCAUCUUCAGCUACAAGGGGCAAUUGGUACCAUUCAAUCUCCAUUCCUAUUCUUAUUUACCAAUUAUUGCCAUUCUUCUACUUCCACACUUGAAGAUGCACGCUUCUUCACAAAUAACUUCAAAUCUGCUUCUUUUACCCGCCUUCAUGAUGCCAUUGCUUCCUUUAAUCAUGUAAUUCAUAUGAAUCCUCUGCCUUCUAGGGUUCAUUUUAAUAGAUUCUUAUCUGCCCUUGUGAAAAUGAAACAAUAUCACACUGUCCUUUCCAUGUCCAAAACAAUUGAAUUUCUAGGAAUCUCACACGAUGUUUAUUCUCUUAGCAUCUUAAUUAAUUGCUUCUGCCACUUACACCUCGGGGAUUUUGGCUUCUCUGUUUUUGGUAAGAUGCUCAAAUUCGGAUUGGAGCCUACCACUGUGACAUUUACUACCUUAAUUAAUGGGCUUUGUAUGGAGAGUAAAAUCGACAAAGCAGUAGAAUUUUUCGAUGAUAUGGUUGCACGUGGUUAUCAACCUAAUGUUUAUACUUAUAAUGUGAUAGUAAAUGGAAUGUGUAAAUUUGGGAAAACAAGUGUGGCUAUUGGGCUACUAAAGGGAAUGGCUGAUAGAGGUUGUGAGCCAAAUGUUGUGACAUACAGUGCAAUCAUUGACGCCCUUUGCAAGGAUGAGCUAGUUGGUGAGGCUUUAGAGCUCCUCUCUCAAAUGAGGAAUAAGGGCAUUUCACCUGAUGUCAUCACUUACACUGGUUUAAUUCACGGUGUUUGCAAAUUAGGCCAAAAGAACCAAGCUUUGGCCUUGAUGAAUGAAAUGGUGGAGCAAAACAUAUUACCAGAUGUUUAUACCUUCAAUGUAUUGAUUGACGCUCUUUGUAAGGAUGGAAUGGUUGCAGAGGCUCAAAAUACAUUCAAUGUAAUGAUUCAAAGAGGUGUAGAGCCUAAUGUGGUCACCUACAGUUCCUUAAUCGAUGGUCUUUGCAUUUCAGACCAAUUCAAGGAAGCUUUGGCCUUGUUGAAAGAAAUGGUGGGGAGGAACAUAUCCCCUGAUGUUUUUACCUUCAAUAUAUUGAUCGACACUCUUUGUAAGAAAGGACUGGUUUCAAGUGCUGAGAAUAUAAUCAAAAUAAUGAUUCAAAGAGGUGUGGAACCUAGUGUUGUCACCUAUAGUUCAUUGAUGGAUGGAUAUUGUCUGUGCAGGGAAAUUGAUAAGGCUAGAAAGGUAUUUGAUCUGACCAAUGAAAUAGCUGACAUUUUUAGCUACAGCAUUUUGAUCAAUGGAUAUUGUAAGUGCAAAAUGAUAGAUGAUGCAAAGGAACUUUUUGAUGAAAUGUCUGAUAAAGGUUUAGUUCCUGAUGUUGUUACUUAUUCUACUCUUAUAGAGGGUAUGUUUCAAGCAAGGAGGCCCCAAACUGCACAGGAGCUCUUUAAGAAUAUGUGCUCUCAUGGUCAACAGCCAAAUAUAGUAACCUUCUCAAUUAUGAUUAAUGGCUUGUGUAGACAGGGGAAUCUCGAUGAAGCACUCACCCUAUUGAAAGAAAUGGAGGAAAGUCAGUUGAAGCCUGAUCUUGUGACCUAUUGCAUUCUGAUCAAUGGUAUGUGCAAAGCUGGCAAGAUUAAUGAUGCCAAGGAACUGUUUUCUAGUCUUUUUGAAAAUGGUUUACAACCUAAUGUUCAUAUAUAUAGUGCAAUUAUGAAAGGACUCUGCCGAGAAGGAUUAAUGGACAAAGCAUAUCAGAUUUUUAGAGACAUGGAAAAGGGAGGAUGUUUACCGAAUAAUUGUUGUUAUAAUAUCAUCAUUCAAGGGUUUCUCAAGCAUGAGGAUUUACCAAAAGCAUCAGAACUAAUCAACGAAAUGGUUGAUAAGGGGUUCUCUGCUGAUGCUACUACCACAGAAUUGGUAGUACAUUUAUCGCAGAAUAAUGAUCUCAUUCUAAGCAAACUACGAAAUCGUUCUGAGGCUUCUAAAGGGGUGCAAUGAGGGAUCAGCAAACUAAAAUUGUUAUAUCUUGACCGUUCAAUGGUGUCUUGGAGAGAAACUUGGUAAUUACCUUCUUCAAAUGUAGUAGAUAUGUAAUUUAACUAACUUCAAAUUUCAUGUUUAAUUUCAAUCAGCUGUGAUUCUCUUCCACAAAACAAAAAUUUCUAACACUGUAAAUUACCUGCAGUGGAAACCAUGAUAUGUUUGUGCCUUUCUCUUGAACUCAGACAUGGACUAGACCUCUUUGGAUAUAAGAUUGUUGAUGAAUGGAGGUCAUAGAUUUCUAAUGAUCAAGUUGCUGGUAAACCCACCAUCUUCCUUACAAUUUUUUUUUGGGCUGCUACUACAGCCUUAACUCGAGAGCUUAGUCCUAAAAAUGAGUUGAGAACUAAAACUACUUGAUUCCAUGCUAUAAUGCUUAAGAAUCUUUAUCUAUUUUACUUUUGUGCUCAAUGACCUUUUAAGAUGCUAUCAUUUUUCAGUAAACAUGCUGCAUUAGGACAAUAACUUGGAGAUUGGAUCAUAUAUUUUGAUUUUUACUAGUAAGAAUGCAGGUGUUAAAUCAGUGAACUAGCAGGUGUUAACACCUGCUUUCUGUAUCAUUUUACCAAAGCUACUCAUGCCUGUUUCCGUCCAUUAGAAUUUAACACCUACUAGUUUAUCAUAUACUUGCAUUACUUGUAAUAAGUUUAUGCUCCCAAAAUGAUUUCUAUUUAUUGCUAGUUUAUUACUUGUAGUAAGUUUAUGCUCAAAAUAAUUUAUAUCUAUUGCUCCUUGAGUUAAUACUUAUAACUUGAACUAGAGUUAAUACUUACUCCUUGAGUGCAAGUUUUAACACCUACUUGUUGAGUUUAAGUAUUAAUUUGAGCUUUUGCAACAGGUACAUCUGAGCUUUAGCAUGGUGCAGUAUGUCUUCCACCAGUCCAUCGGGUCUUUUCCCACAUGCCUGAGAUGAAGAUGGAUUAGAUGAGCAAAUCCAGGAUUUUUGUUGAUUACUUGUUGUACACAUUUUGGGGUACUAUUUGUUUUGGCAUUUACUACAAAAAUAUACUUUUAAUUAUACAUUUUUUUGUGGUUGUACUAGAUUAUUUAUGUGCAAAUUUAAGUUCAAAAGACUUUUCUUUUUAUUAUAAUUGAAUACAUCAGAUUUGUGGUUGAUUUGUGUUAUAUUAUGCAUUUAAUAGGUUGGUUUUGUGAUAUUUGUAAUUAUUUUGGAUCGGUUAAAUAAAAAUUGCAAACGAAAAUGCAAUUGAAAAUCUGGUUCAAAUUUCGUAAAGGGUGUAAGGAAGCAACAUUGAGUCACUUUGCUCUGUAGAUGAUUUGUUUUUGUCUUGUCAUGGGGCUAGGAAUUUGGUCUGUGGGCUUGGAGAGGCCUUGAAGUUGAGGAGGUUUUAGGAUUGCAAGUAAAUGAGUCUAAGAGCUGUGUUUAUCUUGCAAGAGUGCUAGAGGAGAUUAAGCAGCAAAUUCUACAAUUCCUCAAUUUCAGGGAGGCAUUUCUUCCUGUUAUCUAUUUGGGAUUACCUCUGGUAUCUACUAGUAUUAAAAAAGAGCAUUUUCAGAAGCUUAUUAGUAUAAUAACUAGUAGAAUUGACUCAUGGUCUGCUAAAUAAUUAUCCUAUGCUGGUAGGGUACAUGGUGAGGAAUAAGUUGAAAAGCCUCAGUUUUUGGGGAUCUCUAAACCUUGUAAUGCUAGUUGAUCUUGAAAGAAUUGGUGAAAAUUAGAGAUUGUUUUAGAAAGCAUUGUGCAUAUAAGUUGGGAAGAGGGGUUUUUCAUUUUGGUAUGACCCUUGCAUGGGUGGGAAAAGUCUUGUUGAGAGGUCUCUGAGUUGAAUAUGGGAUAUUCUGACAUCAUAGACAUACUAAGGUGAGGGAGGUUUGGAGGGAUGGUAUGUGGAGGCUUCCUAAUCCAUUGGGUUCCACUAUGGAAGGAGCCUGGGAAGAGGUUCAGAAAUAUUACGUAAGCAAUGAAUGGGCAGAUUGUAUUAAAUGGAAACUCAUAGACUUACACUGUUAAUAGUACUUGGAAAGUCCUAAGAAGGAAGGGUGGAGUGGUUAAUUGGUGGAAGGUGGUGUGGGGUGAGCGUAUUCCCAGGCACAGUUUUAUAACCUGGUUAGCUAUCUAUAGUAGACUUGUUGUCAAAAAGAGGCUACUUAGAUGGGGAAUGGUAAAUAAUGCGUGGUUUUGCUUAUGAUUACUUAAUAUUAAUUAGAUUAAUGAUCACUAAUAGAUAAAAGUGUCUGAAGGAAAGAGACACUUAUAAAGAUUAGUGUGUAAAAUCUAUAUGAUUAUUUAAUAUUAAUUAGAUUAAUGCUCACCUAUCGAAAAAGGUGAAAUUAAGUAAAAAGGUCAUGUUUUUUUAGUAAAUUGUAUCGCUCACGAUUAAGUAGAAAUGUUCUUGUGACAAUACUUUACAGUUUUGGCAUGGUGCAGUAGUUAGGAGUAUAAAUGAAUUAAAUUAUUUGUUUGUGAGUUAUUUGAGAUUCGACUCGAUAAAAAUUUAAUCGGGCUCGAUCUAAUUUAUAUACAAGCCAAGUUCGAGCUUAAUUUUUAGACUUGUUUAGUAAACGAGUCAAGUUUGAACUCCAUAGUAUUCGGCUCGUUAAAACUUGUGUGCUCGACUCUUUUCCGAGUUUAUGAACAGAUUCACAAAUAGGCUCGUAAAUUAUCUCGUUAAGUAGGCUGAGAUUAACAUCAUAAGAUAAAUAAAUUCAAAUCAUGCAUAUAUUUUCAUAAGCCAACCUAAAUUUUCUAAAGUUCAAGUCUACAUAGUUUAAUUACAUUUUUCAAACUUGCAGAUAUUUGGAUCGUUAAGAUUUAAGAGCUCAUUCUUUACAAGUUUGUGAGUUAAUUUUUAUAUAUAUUUAUUGAAUUAAAAUUAAGUAUUUGAUUGUCUAGUAUAACUUGGUUAAGUGACUAAAAGAAUAUGUAAUUCAUCUGAAAUUAUAAAUUCAGUUUUCACUCCUCUAUUUCCCAAAAAAUAAUUAUUAUAAUAAAAUAGAUAAUUGCUAAAAAAAUCUUACAUUUUUAAUUUUAUUACGGUUAUACCUUAAACUUUUAAAUUAUUAUCGAUUUAAUCGUGAAAUUUGUUGAUGUGUCAUACUGAUAUGAUAUUGAUAUGGCGAAUGACGUGGCAAUUCUGUUAGUUUUUAACGGCACAAGUAACAGUAGGGUAUAAUUAGAACAACUUUAAAAGAUAAGGGUUUAAUUGACACAAAAAAAAAAGUAUAGAGUGUAAUUACAAUAAAAUCAAAGUACAAAAUUUUUUUUUCCAUUAACGGUUGAACAUAUUAGUUUUAAACUAAAAAUCAUUAUAUAUGUACAUAAAUUGAACUGUUCAUGAAUUAUUCGAUAUUAAACUUGAUAAAAACUCAACUCGUUUAAGUCUGUCUGCUAAAUGAGGUUUAAGUUUCUUUACUAAAUGGGGCAAGUUUGAAUUUAUCGAUACUUGAUUGGAGUUCGAAAUAAGUAAAAAUUGAGUUUCACUCAACCUCAAAGAACUUUUAAGAAAUUAAGUUUAAGCUUUUCAAAGUUUGGAUCGUUUCACUCACACCCCUAACAGUAACUCCUCCAUUCAGUCCUUUCUUGUGAGUCUCAGAUGAAGAAGGAUUAGAUGAGGAGAUCAAAAAUCUUUAUCCGUUACUUGUGGAUUAUUUGUUAUUUACAUUUGUAGAUAUUAUUUAAUUUUAUGUUUACAAUAAAAAUAUACUUUUAAUUAUGAAUUUCAUUUUGGUGUUGUAUUGAAUUAUUUAUGUUCGAAAUAAUUUUUGAUUUAUUGUUUCAAUGCACUAUAUUUGUAGUUGAUUGUAUAAAUAUUGGGUUUUUGAUAUUUACAGGUGUUUUAGAUUAGUGGCAUAAAAAUUAUAAAGAGAAACGCAAAUUAAAAGUAUAUUUAUAAAAUUACAAAUAAAUUUAUAAAUAAAUAUUUUAUUACAUUUACAAACGGUGUCGUAUAUAAUUUAGCAAGCAAUGUCCAUAAAUAGAUAAGUUUAAAUUACAAAUGGACUUAAUUUUUUGUAUGAUUAAUGAAUUUAUAAAUAAAUAAAUUAUUUGAAUUUUAAAUGAAUUUUACAAAUAUAUAAACAGUUUGAAUUACAAAUAUAUUUCAUAUCAGACAUUUAUAUCAUAAAUAUUUUUAUAAAUAGAUUGUCCAUUUUAUAUCAUAAAUGAAUUUACAAAUAAAUUAUCUGUUUAUACAUAAAAUUUUAUUUAUAAAUGAGAGAAUAUAUAAUAAAAAAUUUUAUUUUUCAUUUCAAAAAUAUUACAUAUGAAAUUUACAUAAAGUUUGCGAUCGUAUAUUAAAUUACAAAUGAAAGUGCAUAAUUUUCAACUAGAUUUUUUCAUGUGUAAUUUUUUUUUUUUUUUUUAGUGGCAAGUCUAAUAAGAAUGUUGAACAAAUACUUGGUCUCUUUUUAUUCGCAGACGAGACAUUACAGUGGUAAAAGUUAGGAUCUUUUUAAUAGGAUUUGAACAAUAUAAAUAAAAACAAAGGCUGGGGGAGAAAUAAUAGGAUUGCAAAAAAUAUAUAAGAUAAUUUAUUAUUAUAAAAAUAAAUGAAUAAUCUUAUUUAACAUUUAUUCGCUAAUAAAAAUUAAAUAAUUCAAUAUAUUUUAAAAAUUUUAAGUUAUAAAAUUCUAAUAAUGUGAUAUGAAAAUAUAUACAAUAAUUUAAUAUUAUACUAAAAAGGAAUUAUUUUUAUUUAAAUUAAUUAAUAACAAAAUUAAAUUAAUCAAUACUUUGAAUAAAUUUCAACUUAUAAAAUUAUAGUAAAAAAAAUAAGAAUUCUAAUAUCAUCUCAAACUCAGUUUUAAAAUAAAACUCCUUCUACAUUAUUUACAUAGGAAUAAUAUUAAUAAAUUAAACUAAUAUUAUGUUUUUAAUGGAAUAAAAUAAAAUGAUAUAAAAUAUUAAUGUGGUUGAUUAAUUUUGAAAUUCUAAUACAUUUUUAAAGUUAGUGUACAGUAAAAUUAAUAUAAAAUACACUUAAUUUAAUUAAUUAAAUAAUAACUUUAAUUGAUUAAAAUAUAUACACAUAAAAACUCCAUGUGAUUAAUAAAAAAAUAAUAACUUUAAUUGAAUGAAAUAUAAAAGUUUAAUGUAAUCAAUUUUUAAUAAAGAGUGAACUAUAUUUAUUAUAAAUUUAUUAUAAUAAUGAAUAAUUAAAUUUAAUUAAUUUAAAAUUAAUAAUAAUAAUGAUCAUAAGAAUAAUUUAUAUAAAAAAAUAACGUUAUAAAAAUUUAAGAUGCUAUAAAAUUUUUUUAAUAAAGUUUAUUGGUGCAAAUAUAUAUCUAGUUUUUCUUAAUUCAAUUAUUAUCAAUUUAUUUUACUCUUUUAAUAAUUACUCUCUUAAAAUAUGUUAGAGAAACACUUUUUUUGUAAGUUUUAUACCAAACGUACUUUAUAUUCAUUUGAUAAAUCUGCUAAAAUUUAAUUUAUUGUACAGAAUUUAAAAUUAUUUAUUUUUCUUUUUAAAAAAUAAAAAAAAUCUUUGUUUUACCAUGUUUCAGCUUUUAUGUAAUUAAUAUGAAUAAAGAUUGGUUUUAUACUUAGUAAAAUAUAAAUUCAAGUAAAUUCAUGUAUAGAUUUGUCCUAAAAUAUAUGUAAAAUGUAAUGUAAUUAAUAUCAAUAAUAGUAUUUAGUGAUGGUAUCCUCAGCAUAUAUAAUGUCGGGUAUAAAUUUGUAAAAUAAAUAAAUACGGAAUGGUUGGUUGUGGAUAAUUUUUGUGAUACUUAGGUCAGUAAGUGAUUUAUCAGAAAUUUUAAAAUAAAAGGUAUAGAGAAUAGUUUGAUUAAAAGAGUAUAUACAUGAGGUGUCUUUUUAUAGGUCUAAAGUUGGUUGAUUUUUGGUAGAAGUAGGAUUCUUUUUUGAAAUCUAUUUUUGUAACGACCCGGAAACCGGACCGCUACCGGCGCUAGGAUCCAGAUCGACUUAAGGUCGCCGGGAUCCGUAGCAAACCUACUAUACAACCUGUGUACCUGAUAAAACCCAUACAUGAUCAUACAUUUUCAUAACAUUUUAAAUUUUUCAUAUGCAAGCUUGACCUGUGCAUGCACCAUAGCCAAAAACACAAAACCCCUAUACUAGAGCCCUCAUCAAAUGCUCUAGUAGGGUCAACAUUUCAUACGUCAAGCUUGGUUCAACAUACCUCAUCAUUAAAAUAUUUCAUAUAGAUCAUGUAUAAAAGGGUUUAACCAUACAUCACUAGGGCAAAGCACAAUUCUAUCCAUAAUACAUUACAUUACAUUAUAUUACAUUUCGUUCCAUAUCAUGUUCACUACUGUUCUAUUACAUAACAUAACUAUUACUCUUGCUGACUUCUUGAGCUACCUCUGACCUGCAAACUGGGGGUUAGGGGAAAUGGGUGAGCUACUAAGCCCAGUGAGCAGAACCAUAAAACAGUUAAAUAAUCAUAUGCUCAUAUGGAAUGCACCACAACACAAACAAUACACAUUAAGGAUGGACUGACCCAAAAAUCCCUCUACUCUGUGCCCGGCCCUCGGUGGAGCUCCUCAUGACUUCUUUACUUACAUAAAUUGCGUGCCAGGGGCGUAGAAUGGGCAAUUCUGGUCUUUCAUUACAUAACAUAAUAUGUAGAGGGCUAAUGGUCGUCCUGUUGUCCAUCCACAUCAACAACCAGUUAUGCAGUGCAGCAUAUUCGUGAAGUCUAAUGCAAACAACCUAUUACAUAUACAUGAUGCGUGAACAUGCUUAAAACAUUUGAUUUCUUGAGAUAAAAGAUUAGUUUAGUUCUACUCACCUCUGACUGACGCUUAACUAACUCUGAAGCAGCUAGCUCACUGCUGGUCUCUUCGGUCUCUCGGCUCCGAACCUACACAGGUGGACUCAAAUGAGGGACCAAACAUACUCUAUAAAGACUCUAAAUAUAGCCCCCAAAACCCCCCAAAGCAUCAUAAAACAUGCAUGCAAAACAGGCAAGGGAAGGCUGGACAGAGGACUUUCGGCGGCAGGUUCGGCGGCCGAAGGUCCCUACAGAUCCGAAAGUCAAGCACUUUCGGGGGCAGGUUCGACGGCCGAAACUUCACUCUAGAGACGAAAGUCACCAACCUUCGGCUGCUGAAACUCCUCUCCAGAGCCGAAAGUUCAACUUUCGGAGGCGAGCUUAGGCGGCCAAAACUGCCUCCACAGUCAGGUUCGACGGCCGAACAUGGCUUCGGCGGCCGAACCUGGAUCCUUCUGAGUGGCAGAACCCGAUUCUGCCAUUCCACAUCUAGCCUCCCAAAACCUUCCAAACUCAAACUCAACACACCAAAGCAUGCAUAAACACAUUCUUAAGCAUAUAGGGGCAUAAAACUAGCCUAAACCCCAACAUAACAUCACAUAAACAUACAUAGAGCAUACAUUCAAUAUAAACCCUAACAUUUUCACAACUAACCUAAACAUGCAUCAACAACCCAUAACCCCCUUAUAAAACAUACUUAAAACAUAAAAAAGGGUAUGGAUCUACACUUACCUCUUGAAGAUCGAGAGGAGAGGUGAUCCAAACUUGGAGAUUGGGAGAAAUCGAGCUCCGGGGUCUCCAAGCUUCAAAACUUUAAUCUUAGCUUAAAAACUUCAAAAUAAGGGUAAAAACUCAUCAAAAACAUAAUUGAUUUGUAGGAAAACAUAAAAUCAACCAAAGGAGGGCGAAAUCUCACCUAUGCUCAAAAAUAGAGAGAGAAAACUCGUCCGUUUUCGGAUAAGGGGCUUUUUAUAGGUGGCUGGCCAGACCACCUUCGGAGGCCAAAAGUGCCUCCGCAAGAGGCCAAUGUUCGGAGGCCGAACAUGAGGUUUGGCGGCCGAACCUGGCUUUUUUCCUCCUUGGUCUUUUCUUUCAAAACUCAAUUUCCUUCUUCAUUAAAACCAUAAGAACAUAUAAAAAUAUUUUAGAAAACCUUUAUUUUCACCAUUCUAAGGGAUUCCGGCCUUAAGAUUCCAGAUUUCAACGGAAAUUCCGCUGGAAAAUUGGAAUUCCGGUGCCGGAACUUAGCCAGGUGUUACAAUUUUGGUCCUAAAUUGUAGAAUUUUACUUUAAAGACUUUUUACUUAUAUGUGAUUUAGAAUCCUAAUUGUCAUACGACUUUUACGUGAUUUGAACAAUGUUGUCUAUUUGGAUUUCGGCCUAGUAGGCCGAAGCCUUCGGCUCCGUGAUCGUCACCUUUGGUUUCAAUCCUAAGGCUGAGACCUCGUGUUGAUAUUAGCCUUGAGGCUGAAAUCUUGAGGUCUCGACAUCCAUUUAGCAUUUUGGAUGCCGAGAUCUAAGAGUUUCGACCUUUCGGUCCUAAAGCCGAACACCUUUGAGUAUCAGAACCUUAUUUCUCACUAAAAUGCAUCGCUUAGAAUCAAGCAAAAUAUGACAUAUUUUUAAACUAAUAUAAAUGAUUAAUUAUAUAAUAUUAUGAUAUAGACACUAGAGAGCAUUUUAGUUUUCUUUUUUUUUUCUUUAUAUAUAUAUAUAUAGACACUUGAGUUUAUCUUAUAUAUGUCUAUAAAUGGUAGUUUUAGAAUUUAAGAUAUAAAUAUAAAUAAUAAGGUAUUAUUAUUUAAAUUGCCAAAACUACAUUUAAUAAUUGUAAGUUUGAUGAGUAGCAGAACUCACCACUUGUUUCUUAUUAAAUUUCAUAAUUUUAAUAUAAAUAAUUAAUUUUUACUUAAAAUUUAAUUUUGUUCAGGUUUUUAAGCGGAAGUUAAAGAAAAGGAACGCAAAUAGGCUUAAUUAAAAGAUUUUCAAAUUGAGAGUUACAGUAUUGGGUAAGCCUGUAGUCCAAGACAAUGGACAGCUUCCGAUUUCAAAAAAUGCAACUUCAGCCCAAUUUUUUCAGCUGUAUUAAUAUAAGAUCAACUUUAAAUUGGAGCAAAUACAAUCAUAUUAGAAUAGGGAUAAGAUAGAAGUAAUAAAAUUUAUUUUAAAUUGUAAAUAUUUAUAUUUUUGUUGGAAAAAAAUCCAUAUAAAGGCUACUCAAAAAUUAAUCUAGGUAUCAUAUUUUUCUCUUCUUCUUCUCCCCUCUCAAAUUUGGCCACCUCCUUGCUGUCCCCUUCUUCUUCUCUUUAGUUUUUGUAAUUUUAUCAUGACUCUUAGGGAUUGACCAAUUCUUUUCAAUUGAAAGUUAAUCUAAAUUGAGGUUUUAUUCAAGUUGUGAGAUUAUGUGCUUAAAUUCUCUUCCUAUUAUUUCUAUUUUCUAUUAAUUUCUAUUUUCAAAAAAUACGACCUCGAUUGUUGUCCUCUUAGAAAUUAAGGGGCCCAUUGAAUCUCUUGGAAAGACAACAUAUUACUCAUUAACUCAAUUAAAUUCGUAAUUGUUUAAUUGAGUUAAUAAUAAAUACUAAUUAUGUUAAGAAAUUAGUUUUGAUUUAAAUAAUUCGCGUGUUAUUAUUGAUCAAAUUUAGUGCAAACUUCUUUUCUUUUGUUGGAGUGGUUUGACGUCUUUGUCAACAGACAACUUAUGAGCAGUGAGAGCGAAAUUCACUCUUAUUACAUCUUUUGGAGACCAAGCGAAAAUGGUUACUUGGCAAUUUAGCAACUCUAUUAAAUAAGUCUUUGUUUCACUGGUUAACGCAAUACCGAACCGUACUUUUUGAUUCUUAUCUAAUUCAACCUUUUCUACUAGGUCUCUAGCUCUGUUUUUAUGUGAGAUUCUGGCUUCUUUAGCAAGUCAAUGGGUAUUGUGGCUUUCUCGAGACUUUUUGCGGGGUGUUCGUAAUAUUCUUUAGCCAAUCUCAGGCUACCUCAGACCACGGUUAUCCCCCUGGAGCUGUUAACUUAAGACACAUAGUAUCCGUGUUAAUAACAAUACUGUGACAGUUUAGAACUGGGCGACUGAGUAUCACAUGGUACACAAAUGAGAUAUCUACCAUCGCAAACUCUACAUACAACUCUCGCCUAUAUUUUUCGUCACCCAGGGAAGGUUGAUGGUAUCUACUACUGUCACGGACUUAUCUCCUAAGAUAGGAAACUUUGACAAGACUGUUUUUAUCUAAAUCUAACUUGUUAAAAAUAUUUUAUAUGAGAAGGUUAAUGGAACUAACUGUAUUCACCCAUACUCGCCUUACUUCGAAUCUAUUUUAGAAGGAUUUUAACAACCACUAGGUCAUUUUGAAAGAAUCCAAUCACUUUACCUACAGGACCAAACCUUUAUUUUUUCCUUUACCCUUGUCAUGUCCUCUAUAAUGAUAUGUAUGAUUCCGGCCAUUUAGCUAUUUCAAGAUAGAGAAGAGAUAUUUCUUUUUUAGAGAAUUAGAUAUAUUAUAUGACCCUAUUUACGCUGGACUGUAUCUGAUAACGGUUACUUUACAUUGAAAUCUUGAUAAUCAACCGCAUAUUUAAAGUGUCUGAAUUUUUCUUUUCUCAAAUGAAAAAGUAUUACUUAUUUAUAAGGUUCUUGUCAUAUCACCCUAUUUUAUGGCAAUAACUUAUAAAUUUAUUGUAUUUUAUUAUUAUUUAUAAAUAUUUAAUUUAAUUGAUUAAUUAUAUCAAUUUUCUAUUUAAAUUUAAAUAAAUUUUAUUAUAAGAACCCACUAAAAUUUAAAACUUCUUAUAAAAUAUUAAUUUUAUAAUAUCAAUACUUGAGUUGGCUAAAAAUUUCAGCAAUAAAUAAUUCAUGCUAAUAAUUUUUACUAAUUAAUAUUUCAUAAAAAUAAUAAAUCGGCAUAAAAUUUAUUUUUUUAAUAUUAUAAUAAAUAGAUAUAAAAAUAAAAGUAUUAGUAAUCAAUACUAUUUUAUAAAAAUAAUAUAAAAAAUGAAUUUUAAAGCCAUUUAAAUUUUUGAUAAUUUUAUAUUUUAAUGUUUAGGUUCACACAUUAAUUUAAUUUUUUUAAUUUAAAAUUUAUAUAACCGCCUUUAAUAUACACAAUGUCUACAAAUAGAAAGUAGGUUAAAAAAANNNNNNNNNNNNNNNNNNNNNNNNNNNNNNNNNNNNNNNNNNNNNNNNNNNNNNNNNNNNNNNNNNNNNNNNNNNNNNNNNNNNNNNNNNNNNNNNNNNNNNNNNNNNNNNNNNNNNNNNNNNNNNNNNNNNNNNNNNNNNNNNNNNNNNNNNNNNNNNNNNNNNNNNNNNNNNNNNNNNNNNNNNNNNNNNNNNNNNNNNNNNNNNNNNNNNNNNNNNNNNNNNNNNNNNNNNNNNNNNNNNNNNNNNNNNNNNNNNNNNNNNNNNNNNNNNNNNNNNNNNNNNNNNNNNNNNNNNNNNNNNNNNNNNNNNNNNNNNNNNNNNNNNNNNNNNNNNNNNNNNNNNNNNNNNNNNNNNNNNNNNNNNNNNNNNNNNNNNNNNNNNNNNNNNNNNNNNNNNNNNNNNNNNNNNNNNNNNNNNNNNNNNNNNNNNNNNNNNNNNNNNNNNNNNNNNNNNNNNNNNNNNNNNNNNNNNNNNNNNNNNNNNNNNNNNNNNNNNNNNNNNNNNNNNNNNNNNNNNNNNNNNNNNNNNNNNNNNNNNNNNNNNNNNNNNNNNNNNNNNNNNNNNNNNNNNNNNNNNNNNNNNNNNNNNNNNNNNNNNNNNNNNNNNNNNNNNNNNNNNNNNNNNNNNNNNNNNNNNNNNNNNNNNNNNNNNNNNNNNNNNNNNNNNNNNNNNNNNNNNNNNNNNNNNNNNNNNNNNNNNNNNNNNNNNNNNNNNNNNNNNNNNNNNNNNNNNNNNNNNNNNNNNNNNNNNNNNNNNNNNNNNNNNNNNNNNNNNNNNNNNNNNNNNNNNNNNNNNNNNNNNNNNNNNNNNNNNNNNNNNNNNNNNNNNNNNNNNNNNNNNNNNNNNNNNNNNNNNNNNNNNNNNNNNNNNNNNNNNNNNNNNNNNNNNNNNNNNNNNNNNNNNNNNNNNNNNNNNNNNNNNNNNNNNNNNNNNNNNNNNNNNNNNNNNNNNNNNNNNNNNNNNNNNNNNNNNNNNNNNNNNNNNNNNNNNNNNNNNNNNNNNNNNNNNNNNNNNNNNNNNNNNNNNNNNNNNNNNNNNNNNNNNNNNNNNNNNNNNNNNNNNNNNNNNNNNNNNNNNNNNNNNNNNNNNNNNNNNNNNNNNNNNNNNNNNNNNNNNNNNNNNNNNNNNNNNNNNNNNNNNNNNNNNNNNNNNNNNNNNNNNNNNNNNNNNNNNNNNNNNNNNNNNNNNNNNNNNNNNNNNNNNNNNNNNNNNAAUUCCUUAAUUGAUGGUCUUUGCAUUUCAGACCAAUUCAAGGAAGCUUUGGCCUUGUUGAAAGAAAUGGUGGGGAGGAACAUAUCCCCUGAUGUUUUUACCUUCAAUAUAUUGAUCGACACUCUUUGUAAGAAAGGACUGGUUUCAAAUGCAGAGAAUAUAAUCAAAAUAAUGAUUCAAAGAGGGAACCUACCGUUGUCACUUAUAGUUCAUUGAUGGAUGGAUAUUGUCUAGGCAGCCAAAUUGAUAAGGCUAGAAAGCUAUUUGAUCUGAUGGUGACCAAUGAAAUAGCUGACAUUUUUAGCUACAACAUUUUGAUCAAUGGAUAUUGUAAGUGCAAAAUGAUAGAUGAUGCAAGGCAGAUUUUUGAUGAAAUGUCUCAUAAAGGUUUAGUUCCUGAUGCUGUUACUUAUCAUACUCUUAUAAAGGCUAUGUUUCAAGCAGGGAGGCCCCAAACUGCAAAAGAGCUCUUUAAGGAUAUGUGCUCUCAUGGUCAACAGCCAAAUAUAGUAACCUUCUCAAUUAUGAUUGAUGGCUUGUGUAGACAGGGGAAUCUCGACGAGGCACUCACCCUAUUGAAAGCAAUGGAGAAAAGUCAGUUGAAGCCUAAUUUUGUAAUCUAUAGCAGUCUGAUCAAUGGUAUGUGCAAAGUUGGGAAGAUUAAUGAUGCCAGGGAACUUUUUUCUAGUCUUUUUGAAAUUGGUUUACAACCUGAUGUUUAUGUAUAUAAUGCAAUUAUGAAAGGACUCUGCCAACAAGGAUUAAUGGAUGAAGCGUAUAAGGUAUUUAAAGACAUGGAAAAGGUAGGAUGUUUACCAAAUAAUUGUUGUUAUAAUAUCAUCAUUCAAGGGUUUCUCAGGCAUGAGGAUUUACCAAAAGCAUCCGAACUAAUCAACGAAAUGGUUGAUAAGGGGUUCUCUGCUGAUGAUGCUACCACAGAAUUGGUAGUACAUUUAUCGCGGAAUAAUAAUCUCAUUCUGAGGCUUUUAAAGGUGCGCAAUGAGGGAUCAACAAACUAAAUUUGUUAUAUCUUGACCAUUCAAGUGUAUCUUGGAGCACAACUUGGUAAUUACCUUUUUCAAAUAUAAUAGAUAUGUAAUUUAACUAACUUCUUCAAAUAUCAUUUUUAAUUUCAAUCAGCUGUGAUUCUCUUCCACAAAACGAAAAUUUCUAACGCUGCAAAUUACCUGUGGUGGAAACCAUGAUAUGUGUGUGCCUUUCGCUUGAAUUCAGACAUGGACUAGAUUUCUUUGAUAUAAGAUUGUUGAUGAAUGGAGGUCAUGGAUUUCUAAUCAUCAAGUUGCUGGUAAACCCACCAUCUCCAUUACAAUUUUUUUUUGGCUGCUACUACAGCCUUUACUCGAGAGCUCAGUCCUAAAAUUUAUUUGAGAACUAAAACUAAUUGGUUCCAUACUACAAUGCCUAAGAAUCUUUAUCUAUUUAUUUUUGUGCUCAAUGACCUUUCAAAAUGCUAUCAUUUCUCUUGUAGGUACUUGCAAGGAUAUGACUACAACUUCACCUUUCUAACCAUAAAGGUAUAAGCAAUUCAUUUUUGCUUAGUUAUUAUAAUUUUUAAUAAUAAUGAAAGUAAUGAUUAUAAACCAGUGUGCUGUAAUUGAGAAUUGAUUUAACAAUUAGACUACACUAUAAAUGCAGGGUGCAAGAUAUACAGUCUCAGAGUACAAGGUAAGAGAAUCACUAGACUUCUACAGCUGUUGGUUGGAUGAAAUGUCACUAAAAUUAUACACAACAGAAAAUGUUAUGGGAAUUGAGGGAAAAGCAAACAUCCUCUUUGUCACCUUUUUUUUUUUCUAGUCAUCAAGUUGGGUAUAUAUAAAUAUAGAUCCUUAAUUUCUUUAAUUUUCCUUCAAAUCAAAUUAGUGAAAUCAUUGCAUUAGCAUCUAAUAAUAUGAAGUUCACAAUCUUUUCCAAUGAAAUCAAUUUUUUAGCAUGAAAAUUUGAAUUUUAGAAAUGCUUGUGGAAGCUAUGUAUAUAUAUUCUUCCCUUUGAGAUUCUUUACUUUGUGCCAAGUUGAUUGGAUGUGUAACUGGCGAUUAAAUGUUGAUAGUUUAUAGCAAUAGCUAUCAAAUAAAGCGAGUCCAUUUUAAGGAUAUGAUUAAAUCACUUUGCUUGGCCUAAUGCAACUAUUUUCUAACUGCUUUCUAAAUUAACCAAACCUCUAUUGUAUGAUUUGUAUCCUGCUGAAGCCAAGGUACAAGUGUAGUGGUUGAGAAAUCUGCCAUUUUUUUUUUUAGUUUUUUGUUUGACAGAAAAUCUAACAAUUUAAGUGGUUGAAACUGUUGAAUCUUGUGAUAGUAAAUUAUUUACAAUUGCUGUAUAUUAAGGAAAAUUACUUAGGAAAUCAUCUCUGUAUAAGAUAUCUUUAUCGUAUUAUAUAAUAAUAAUAGAAUCAAAUAUGAUCAUUUUGUCAAUAUGGUAUAUAACGGAUAUAUUUUAGUGUUGGACCACCAUUUGAGUUAUUUGUAUGGUGCAUUUUGCGAUACUUUUAUGUGGUGGUAUGAAUGUGAAACGCAUUGUUUCUUACUGUUUGAGAUGUUAGUUAAGUUAGGCAAGAAAAGUUAUUUUGGUUGUUUCUUUUCUCCUUUCAGCAGUAUAUAAUUAGACAUGUUAUGUUUUUACCACUUUCUAAACCUUGUAAUAUACUCGAUAAAAUUUUCUUUGGGCUCUUGUUUGUACAUGGUAUUGUUCUUUUUGCUUAAUGCAUCAUUCUUGAAGUUUUUGUGACUGCAUCCAUGGGAAAUGGUUUGUUAGAGAAGGUGGGGCUGACAGGGUACAUAUUGAGAGGUAGGAAACCAAUUGCAAAAUGAUUCAGAUCCUUCUACUCUUCAAAACUCAGAUAAUCCAAGUAGGAUUCUCAUAUCUGCACCGUUAAAUUUAGUAAAUUAUUCGACUUGGAGUAUGUCUAUGACUAUGACACUUACUUUAAAGAAAGAUUUGGGCAACUUAUACACCAAUUAAAGAAAGAAAUAAGUAGUUUCAGUCAAGAAUCUAUAUGAGUUGUUGUUUACUUUACAAAAUUGAAGAAACUAUGGGAUAAACUUGGUGUUUUAAAGCAUCAUUAAAGAGUAGGUUGAAUAUGAGUUUGUUUUUAGUAUAAUUCUAUGUUCAGCCUCCUCAUUCUUAAAAGAAAAGUUAGGAAGUUAGAAAGUUGGGAGUGGAGGAAAGAGUUUCAUAUAGAUUUUGUGACUUUUGGAANNNNNNNNNNNNNNNNNNNNNNNNNNNNNNNNNNNNNNNNNNNNNNNNNNNNNNNNNNNNNNNNNNNNNNNNNNNNNNNNNNNNNNNNNNNNNNNNNNNNNNNNNNNNNNNNNNNNNNNNNNNNNNNNNNNNNNNNNNNNNNNNNNNNNNNNNNNNNNNNNNNNNNNNNNNNNNNNNNNNNNNNNNNNNNNNNNNNNNNNNNNNNNNNNNNNNNNNNNNNNNNNNNNNNNNNNNNNNNNNNNNNNNNNNNNNNNNNNNNNNNNNNNNNNNNNNNNNNNNNNNNNNNNNNNNNNNNNNNNNNNNNNNNNNNNNNNNNNNNNNNNNNNNNNNNNNNNNNNNNNNNNNNNNNNNNNNNNNNNNNNNNNNNNNNNNNNNNNNNNNNNNNNNNNNNNNNNNNNNNNNNNNNNNNNNNNNNNNNNNNNNNNNNNNNNNNNNNNNNNNNNNNNNNNNNNNNNNNNNNNNNNNNNNNNNNNNNNNNNNNNNNNNNNNNNNNNNNNNNNNNNNNNNNNNNNNNNNNNNNNNNNNNNNNNNNNNNNNNNNNNNNNNNNNNNNNNNNNNNNNNNNNNNNNNNNNNNNNNNNNNNNNNNNNNNNNNNNNNNNNNNNNNNNNNNNNNNNNNNNNNNNNNNNNNNNNNNNNNNNNNNNNNNNNNNNNNNNNNNNNNNNNNNNNNNNNNNNNNNNNNNNNNNNNNNNNNNNNNNNNNNNNNNNNNNNNNNNNNNNNNNNNNNNNNNNNNNNNNNNNNNNNNNNNNNNNNNNNNNNNNNNNNNNNNNNNNNNNNNNNNNNNNNNNNNNNNNNNNNNNNNNNNNNNNNNNNNNNNNNNNNNNNNNNNNNNNUUAUAUACAACUCUCAAUAAGAAUAUUUUAUUAUUUUAUGUAGUUAUUAAUUAUAUAAUUUUAAUUAAAAAAUAUAUGUAUAAUUAAUAUAUAAAAAUAUAUUAUAUUACUAAUACGUAAUUUAGUCAUAUAAUUAAAAACUACAAAAUAAUUAAUACAUUUAUAGUUGAUAUAAAAAAUAUACACAUAGAUAUAUACGUAUAUAUAAUCUAUUUAGGUAGAAUACACUAAAAUUAAUUAAUUAAAUUAUUUAAUUAUAUAUUUAAUAACUAAUUAAAAUAUAUGUUUAUUUUUUAAUAUCAUAGCAGCCGAAACCUGAUAUAAUUUGCUUAAUUAUUUUGAAAAUAUUUUCUAUUUAUUAUGAUCUUUCACUCUUUCAUCCUCCACAAUUUACAAACAGUUACAAAUUUAUUUAUAAAUGUUAAGAGUUUCACAAAUGGACACAACAAAAACAGUUUCUUUUCACGAUUCUAUAUUCGUUUGUACAUUUAUUUAUAUCUCGAUAAUUUUACAAAUAACUUAUAUAUUCGAUUAUAAAUAUGUUUGUAGUAAUUUAAUUUUACAAAUCAAUUAUACAUCCAUUUGUAAAUUUAUAUGUUCUUUUAAUUUUAUAAAAAACGUUUGUAAAUUCGUGUGUAUUCAUUUAAUUUCAUAAAUGAAUUAUAAAUUCAUUUACAUAUCUAUUUAUGUCUAUUUAAUUUUAGAAUGGUUAAACUUCCGUUUGCAAAUCUGUAUAUGUCCAUUUAAUUUUACAAAUAAAUUAUAAGUCCAUUUGUAAAUUAUUCUAUGUCCAUUUAAUGUUACAAACAACUUAUAUAUUGGUUCGUAAAUUUAUUUGUAGCCGUUUAAUUUUUUAAAAAAAUUAUUAUUUAGUUCUUAUGAUAUGAUAAAAUUUAUUAGUUGAUCCCUUUAUUUUAAAAAAUAAAAUAAAACAUUCUUGACAUUUUAAAAAGUCUAUUAGUUAGUCUCUCCAUUAAUUUUAGCCGUUAAGUAUUUUAAUGUUUAGUUCUUAUGCCUUGAAAAAUUUAUUAGUUAGUCCUGCAACUUUUUAAAAAGUCUACUAAUUAGUCUCUCUGUAUCAGGGGCAUUUUAUAAUUUUUUGCAAUACUUAGGGGUUAAAAAUAACAGAAUGAUCAAUUAGUAAAUUUUUUUAAAACGUCAGGAAUAUUUUAAUGUAUUUUCAAAACAGAGGAACCAACUAGUGAGUUUUGUCAUACUAUAGAGACUAAAUAAUUAAUUUUUCUUAAUUUUACAAAUCAAUUACAUGUUUGAUUGCAAAUUCGUGUCUUUUAAAUUUUACUAAUGAUUAUACUUUCAUUUGCAAAUUUGUGUGUACAUUUAAUUUUAAAAAUGGAUUAUAAGUCUGUAGCAAAUUCUUAGGUGUCUAUUUAAUAUUACAAAUGGUUUACACAUAUGUUGUGAGUUUAUUUAUGACCAUUUAAGUUUACAAAUGGUUUAUACAUCCAUUUGCAAAUUCGUGUAUAUCUUUUUAAUUUUACAAACAGUUGGAUUUUCAUUUGCAAAUUCUUAUGUGCCCAUUUAAUAUGGAUUAUACAUCCGUUUGUGAAUCUUUUUAUAAAUAUAAUAUAAGUUUGUUUAUAAAUUCAUGUAUAUCCAUUUAAUUUUAUAAACAGUUUAUAUAUUCGUUUAUAAAUAUGUUUGUGAUGAUUUAAUUUUACAAAUGAAUGACACGUCUGUUUGCAAAUCUGUGUGUCAUUUUAAUUUUAUAAACAGAUUAUAAGUUUGUUUGCAAAUCCAUAUAGGUCCAUUUAAUUUUUCAAACAGAUUAUAGGUCUGUUUGCAAAUUCUUUUCUGUCCAUUUAAUUUUACAAAAGAUUUACACAUCUAUUUGUAAAUAUGCUUGUGACCAUUUAAUUUUAUAAACAAAUUACAAGUCUGUUUUGCAAAUCCUUCUAUUUACAUUUAAUUUUAUAAAUUAAUUAGAUGUCCAUUUGCGAAUCGUUUGUAUACAUUUAGUUUUACAAACAGAUUGCAUGUCCUUUUGAGAAACUAGAUUUAUCUAUUUAAUUUUAUUAACAAAUUAUACGUCUAUUUGUGAAACUGUUUGUAUUCAUUUAAUUUCCUCUUGCUAAUAAUCUAAUCUUUCUCCCAAUGUUCAAAAUUAAAAUAAUCAAUCAUUUCUUCAUCAGCAUGCCUUUAAUCGACCCACCCCAUCUUUUUUAGUGAAUCUGACCUCCUCAUAGAUCCAUCGAUAAUUAAGAGCACUUGAGUAGUUCCACUGACUAGAAGCACCACUCAGAUCCACCUAUAGAUAUUUUGUUCGGAUAAUUUUCACUACAAAAAAUUUUUGAAUUAUCAACAGAUUUUAUUAAUAUGGUAAUUCGCUAACAAUUUCAAUCUGUUAGUAAAUUUAGGGGUGUAAAUGAAUUAAAUUGUUUUUGAGCUAUUUGAGAUUCGGCUUGAUAAAAACUCGACCGAACUUGACUCGAUUUCUAUACAACCCAAACUUAAACUUAAUUUUUAGGCUUAUUUAGUAAACUAGUCAAGCUUAAACUCUAUAGUAUUCGGCUGGUGAACUUACUCAUUUUCGAGUUCAUGAGCAUGCUCGUGAACAGUUUCGUUAAGCAGACUGAGAUUAAUAUCAUAAGAGAAAUAAAUUCAAAUCAUAUAUAUACUUUUAUGAGCUAAAUUUAAAUUUUCUAAAGUUAUUAUAAGAAAUUUUUGGAUUUUCAACAGAUUUUAUCGUUAAUCUAUUGGUACUUUUAACAGAUUUCUAACGAAUUUGAAAAUUUAUUGGUAAUUGUUAAUUGAAAAAAUUGUGUAAAAAUUCACUAACAGAUUUAAAAUCCCUUGGUAUUACUAACAGAUUUAAAAAUUCGUUGGAAAUUUAUAAAUUUAUAAAAUAAUUGGUGUUGAAAUUUACUAAUAGACUUAAAAUCCAUUAGUAAAACCGUUAGUAAUUCACUAACAAUUUCAAUCUGUUAGUAAAUUUAAUGGUGUAAAUGAACCAAACUGUUCGUGAUCUAUUUGAGAUUCGAGUCGAUAAAAACUUGACUCAAUUUUUAAAUGAGUCAAACUCGAACUUAAUUUUUAGACUUGUUUAGUAAACGAGUCAAGUUUAAACUCCAUAGUAUUCGACUCGUUAAGGUUCGUGAGCAGAACUCGUUUUUGAGUUCAUGAGCAGGCUUGCAAACAAGCUCGUAAACAAUCUCGUUAAACAAACUGAGAUUAAUAUCAUAAGAGAAAUAAAUUCAAGCUCUGCAUAUAUUUUCAUGAGCCAAAUCUAAAUUUCUUAAAGUUCAGCUCUAUAUAGUUUAAUUAUACUUUUAAAACUUGCAUAUAUUUGGAUCAUUAAGAGCUCAUCUUUAUAAAUUUACGAGCUAAUUUGUAUAUUUAUUUAUUUAGUUUUAAAUUAAAAAGUACUAUAUAUGUAAAUAAAUUGAACUAUUUGUGAACUAUUUGAAACUAAACUCGAUAAAAACUCGACUCGUCUAAAUUCGUUUGCUAAACGAGCUAAAUUUGAACUUAUUAAUACUCGGCUCAAGUUCGAAAGGAAUAAAACUCAAGUUCAGCUCGAACUGAAACAAAUUUUAACGAACCAAACUUGAAAUCUUCAAAAGUUAGUGCUGCUCGGUUCGUUUGAACCCUAAGUAAAUUUUAAAAAGUGUUUAAAAUACUAACAAACUCUAAAUCCGUUGGUAAUUUGCCCAAAAAAUUACUAACGAAUUUAGAAAUUUGUUUCUAAACUUUAUCAAUAAAUUAAUAAAUAAAAGAAAAAUGUUGAAUUUAUCAACAGAAACUAUCCGCUAGUAAAUUCAUUGGUAAAUUUAAAAUAAAAUCAUGUAUAAAACAUUUGCGUUCUUUUUUUACAACUCACAACUUUCAGUUACCAACGGAUUUAUUAACAGAUUUUAAAUCCGUUGAUAACUUUUAGAGAGAAAAAAGUUACUUUUUUUUAAAAAAAUUAAUAACAAAUUACAAAUUUAUCAGUAAUUCGUUUGUAAAUGUUACACCAGCUCCUAUACUUAUAUCAUUCAUUCAUUUUAUCAUUUUUCUUUCUUACAUUUUCUUUCUCUUUCUCUCAUUUGCUUUAUUUUUCAACUACUUUCUUUCAUUUCACUUUUUUUAUCUCAUAAAUUUUUUUCUUUUUUCUAUUAUUUUCCUAUAAUCACUUAUCCUAUUUUCUCUUGUUCUCUUUCCUCUUCUAUUAUUUUCUUCAUUCUUCAUAAUUUCCUUUCAUUUUCUCCAUUUUUUUCAUUUUUUUUCUUUUCUUUUCUCCAAUUUUCUUCCUUGUCUCUAUAAUUUUCGUUUAUAUUAGUUUUUCUAAUAUUAUUUUCUUCUAUCAUUUUCUUUCUAUUUAUAUUUUUUUCUAUUAUUUUCUCUUUAUUUAUUUUCUUCUCUAAUCAUUUGUUUACUUUUAUUCAUUUCUCUAAUCAUCUUUACUCUGCACUCAUUCUUUCUUCUUUUUCAUAAUUUUUAUUUUUCUAUUAUUUUCUUUAUUUUUCUCUUUUUUCUUUCUUUUUUCUUAUUUCCUCUCAUUUUAUACAAUUUACUUUUCUCUUAUUUUCACUUUCUAUGUAUUUUUAAUAAAUAUUAGACAUAAAUUAAAAUUUAAUAACAAUAAUAAUAUAAUUUUAAGUCUUAUUAAAUUAAUAAAAAAUUAUUAAACUCUCAAUAGAUUUACUAACGGAUUGAAAUCCGUUUGAUGGGUAUUGAUGAUAAAGGAUUAUUUAGAGUCUGUCAGGAGGUUUAACCAAUAUUGUUUAGCUAAUACCAUAUAAGAGAAAGAUAGGUUAGAAUCCGAAAAAUCUUAUUGAAAUUUUUUAAAUAUUGAAAAGUGAGUCGCUAAUAGCCAACGAAAACUAUUUAUAAAAAAAAAUCUUAAUAUGUAAAAUUGUAAAAAUAUUUUAAAAAAUAAUUAAAAUGUAAAAUUAAUCACUCAAACGAUGAAAUUUUUAUCUAGUCUCCAUGCUUGCCACUAUCACAAUUUAUUUUGUAUUGAAAAACCAGAAAUUUAUUUUAUCUAGUCUCCAUGCUUGCCACUAUUAAACCCAACUGAAAAUUUGGUGGUUGGAUUUGAACUUAGUUUGAUUCAUUCAAAUACUUAUUCUCAUUUUUUUUUAUUACUUUAUUAAUUGCAACCUACAUCUAUGUUUGGAAAUAGGUGCAGAGUAUUGGAGAAGAAGAGCUUAGAAUCCGGAGCUUGAUGAUGACUGCUAAGUGUGUGUUUGGAGAUGGUUUCUUUUCAGAAGCUGCGCGGGUCACAUUUGUUUUUACCUUGUUUAAUAUAUUUAUUUAUUAUUUAGUUUAUUUUUCAGUUAAUGAAUUUAAGUUUUAAAUCUAUAAGUAUGGUCCUUGGAUUCAGAAGGGAUGAGACACUUUUAAGUAUUAGUGUGUAAAAUCUAUAUGAUUACUUAAUAUUAAUUAGAUUAAUGAUCACUGAUCAACAAAAGUGAAGCAACCAAACUCAUGUAAAUCUUAUUUUUUUAGCAGAGUGUAGUGCUCCAAAUCAGGUAGGUGUUCAUGUGACAGGUAUUUUACAGUCUCAUUAUGGUGUAGUAGUUAGAGGUGUAAAUGAACCGAACUAUUUGUGAGUUACUCGAUCUUUGCAUUGAUAAAAAUUUGACUGGACUCAAUUCGAUUUAUAAACGAGUCAAGAUCGAGCUUAAUUUCUAAGCUCGUUUAGUAAACCAGUUAAACUUGAACUCCAUAGUAUUCAGCUCAUUAAAACUUGUGAACUCAGCUCAUUUCUGAGUUUAUAAGGAGACUCGCGAAUAGGCUCGUGAACAGUUUCCUUAAAUAGAUUGAGAUUAAUAUCAUAGGAGAAAUAAACUCAAAUAUUAUAUAAACUUUCAUGAGCCGACUUAAGUUUUCUAAAGUUCAAUAUUUUUACUCGUUAUUAAUUCAAUAUUUAUGUUAAUUCAAAAUUUUUAUGUUAAUUCAAUAUUUUCAGUCUUUAUUAAUUUUAGCUAAUCUUAUUAAUUUUUAUUAAUUUAUUCAAUAAUUUUAAUAAUUUUGUUAUUUUUAACAAAGUUUCGUGUUGAUAUAAAAAAAUAAAAUAUUUAAUUUUUUAUUAUAACCAUUUCUUUUUUUUAAUCGAAGAUAACCAUUUCAACAUUCUGUAUGAAAAAUUUAGAGAAUUAAUUAAAUGUGAAUAUUGCAUAUAAUUUGUGAUAAUCUCUCCCAUUUCAAACUCCUAACAAAAAAUCUACUGACCUUUAAAUUAAUUCUGCCAUUUUAAGAAACUAAAAACCAUAAAACUGAAUAAAUUUUAUCGUCAUAUCUUAUUAUUCUCAAAAUUAUAAACUUAAGCAUCACUCCAUAUUUAGCAAUUACCAUUAAUAAAUCAAAACGUAAAUAAUUAGAUAAUUAACAAAGAUUCUUCUUCACUGCCUUAAUUUGCAACUUUUUAAAACCAAUUAAAAAACUAAUCCAGCUAAAAAAACUUUGCUUAAUGCUGGAACUCCAAAUUUCAUUUGAAAAAUUCACUCGUUAUCCAUAUAUAUAAACUGAAUUUCAAACUAUUCUUUUUUGUUAUAAAAUUUCCUUUCGGAUUUUCUAACUCUCAACCUUUCUUUAACUUAAAAAAAUUUCAUCAAUAAUGCCAUCGUCGAAAGCUUCUAGUAGGAAAAUAGUUCUACUGAUCAGAAAGCCAAAACUCCACAAGUUCGAAAAGGCUACAUAGCCAUGUAUGUGGGUGACGAGAGUAAGAGAUACCAAGUUCCAGUGGAGAAUCUGAAGUUUCCAGCAUUACAAGAAUUGAUUAAACAAUCUCAGAAUGGUGAUCUCGACUCCAAGAUUGAUGGGCCAAUCGUGCUUGCUUGCACUACUGACAAGUUUGAUGAAACUUGCAAGGGGAUUCUCACGUUUGAUGAAACUUUAGAGAGUUUUGAAUAAUUCUUUUUUAUAUGAUUAAAUUAUUAAUAGGUCAUUGUAGUUUAUCAAAAUUAACUAUUCAAUCUCUAUUUCUGUAAUGACCCGGGAACCGGACCGCUACCAGCGCUAGGAUUCAGAUCGACUUAAGGUCGCCGGAACUCUUUAGCAAGCCUACUGUACUUUUUAUUGUACCUGAUAAAAUCCCAUACAUGAUCAUACCUUUACAAAAAAACUUAAACAUUUCAUGAAAUCAAGCUCAACCUGUGCAUAUAUCAUAAACUGAAACAUAAAACCCAUAUAGAGCCCUCAUCAAAUGCUACAGUAUGGUCAACAUACAUGCCUUGCUUGAAACAUAACUCAUACAUAAAACUUUUACAAUAAAAAAAAUCAUGUAAACUGGGAUUACAAGACUAUCAAUAGGGCAAAACACAAUUCUAAUCCAUUAUAACAUUACAUGUCCACAACUAUUCUAUUACCUAACUAUACCAGCUACUAUGCCGGCUCCCCGAUGCUAUCUUAGACCCUGCAAAGUCUGGGGUUAGGGGAAAUGGAUAAGUUACAAGAGCUUAGUGAGCAUAACAGUAAAAACAAUUUAAUAAACAUAUGCUCAUAUGAAAUGCGUCACAACACAAACAAAUCACCUUAAGAUGGACUUAUCACCAGUAACCCUCUACAUAUUCCAAAUAAUGUCCGGCCCUCGACGGAGCUCCUCAUAACUUCCUCUUAAACAUAACAUAACAUAUUCAACUGUGCCAGGGGCAUAGAAUGGGCAGCCCUGGUCUUCCAUAUCGUAUCAUAUCAUAACCUGCUCGAGGGCUAGUGGGUCAUCCAAUAUCCAUCCACAUCAACAGUAAAAAUGCAAUGCAUCAUAUUUGUGAAUUCUAGUGCAAGCAUCCUAAUACAUAAACAUGGCAUUCGUGAUGCAUGAACAUACUUAAAAGUUUAGUUACUUUAGAAAAUAUAGUUCAGUUCUACUCACCUCUGGCUGACGCUUUCUAAACACUGAAGCAGCUGACUCACUGCUGGCCUCUUCGGUCUCCCAAGUCCGAUCCUACAAAGAUAGACUCAAAUGAGGGACCAAACAUAACUCUAACAAGACUCUAAACAUCUCCCCCAAAACCCUCUAAAACAAUAUAAACCAUGCAUAGAAAACAAGCAAAGGAAGGCUGGAUAGGGGACUUUCGGCGGCAGGUUCGGCGGCCCAAAGUCCCUUCCAGAUUGGAAAGUCAGGGACUUUUGGGGGCGAGUUCGGCGGCCGAAGGUCUUUCACAGAUCCGAAAGUCACUAACAUUCGGGGGCAGGUUAGGCGGCCAAAGGCUGCCUCCACAAGCAGGUUCGGCGGCCGAAUCUAGGUCCUCCAGAAUGGAAGAACCCGAUUCUACUUCAUGCCCAAAGCCACCAAAACCUUCCAUUCUCACACCCAACUUCUCAAAAACAUGCAUACACUCACUCAUCAAGCAUAAGGGGCAUAAAACUAGUCUAAUCCCAACAAACAAUAACAAAAACAUCACAUAAGCAAACAUUCAUAAACAACCCAGCACAAACCCUAUAACAUUAUAUCUAACCAUUUCAUGCAUCAAAACCCUUAAACCUCUUUAAAACUUACUUAAAACAUAAGAAAAGACUAGGAUCUAUGCUUACCUCUUGAGGAACACGGUCUCCAAGCUUCCAAAACUUUGGUUUUAAGCUUAAAACUUCAAAAGCAAGGGAAAAACUCAUAAAUAUUUUGAAGGAUUUGAAGGAAAAACAACAAAAUUAACAAUGGGAGGGCAAGAACUCACCUUUGCCUGAAAAUGGGAAGGCAACAACAAACUCAUAAAUAUAUAUUCUUUUAUAUAUUAUAAUUUUACAUUAAUAUUAAUAACAAAUAAAAUUGAAAAUGUGAAAUAUAUGUAGUGAGUUUGAGCAUUUCAAAAUUUUAUUAUUUUGAAAUAAUUUUAUAUAUUAAUUUUUUUAUUACAUUAAUUAAAAUCAUAAUAUUAUCUAAAUAGAUGUCAAAAUAAAAAUGCGCUAAACAAUUCCCAUAAGAGUAAAGGUUGGUAAAAAAAAAAUAAUUUUAUUAUAUUAAAAAAAUAAUUAAUAAUAAAAAAUUAUAUAAGCUAAAAAUUAAUUAUAUUUUUCAUGAAAUUUUAUUAAUAUUAAAAAUAAAAUCAACAAUUUAUAUAACCGCCUUUAAUUAGGUAUCUACAAAUAGCACGUAGGUUAAAAAAAAUUAUUAUUACAAAAUGAUAAAUUUAAUUUGCUAUUAAAUAAUAUUUUUAUAUGAAAAUUUAAUAAAAAAUUACAAAAUGUGGUGCAUAUAAACAACAGAGUAAUGCAUUUCCUUUACCAGCAGGCAGAGAGCCUUCCUUUUCCAAUUCUCUAUUUCCUUUCCUCAUUCCCAAUCUCCGAUCCAUCCCUAAAAACAACUGACGAGAGAUCGAUGAUGAUGAAGAUGCCCUGGAGGAGGAAGAGCAGGAGCUUCCAUCUUCAGCUACAAGGGGCAAUUGGUACCAUUCAAUCUCCAUUCCUAUUCUUAUUUACCAAUUAUUGUCAUUCUUCUACUUCCACACUUGAAGAUGCACGCUUCUUGACAAAUAACUUCAAAUCUGCUUCUUUUACCCACCUUGAUGAUGCCAUUGCUUCCUUCAAUCAUGUAAUUCAUAAGCAUCCUCUGCCUUCUAGAGUUCCAUUUAAUAGAUUCUUAUCUGCCCUUGUGAAAAUGAAACAAUAUCACACUGUCCUUUCCAUGUCCAAAACAAUUGAAUUGCUAGGAAUCUCACACGAUGUUUAUUCUCUUAGCAUCUUAAUUAAUUGCUUCUGCCAUUUACACCUUGUGGAUUUUGGCUUCUCUGUUUUUGGUAAGAUGCUCAAAUUGGGAUUGGAGCCUGACGUUGUGACAUUUACUACCUUAAUUAAUGGGCUUUGUAUAGAGAGUAAAAUCGACAAAGCAGUGGAAUUUUUCGAUGAUAUGGUUGCACGUGGUUAUCCACCUAAUGUUUAUACUUACAGUGUGAUAAUAAACGGAAUGUGUAAAUUUGGGAAAACAAGUGUGGCUAUUAGGCUACUAAAGGGAAUGGCUGAUAGAGGUUGUGAGCCAAAUGUUGUGACAUACAGUGCAAUCAUUGACGCCCUUUGCAAAGAUGAGCUAGUUGGUGAGGCUUUAGAGCUCUUCUCUCAAAUGAGGAAUAAGGGCAUUUCACCUGAUGUCAUCACUUACACUGGUUUAAUUCAUGGUGUUUGCAAAUUAGGCCAAAAGAACCAAGCUUUGGCCUUGAUGAAUGAAAUGGUGGAGCAGAACAUAUCACCUAAUGUUUAUACCUUCAAUGUAUUGAUUGAUGCCCUUUGUAAGGAUGGAAUGGUUUCAGAGGCUCAAAAUACAUUCAAUGUAAUGAUUCAAAGAGGUGUAGAGCCUGAUGUGGUCACCUACAAUUCCUUAAUUGAUGGUCUUUGCAUUUCAGACCAAUUCAAGGAAGCUUUGGGCUUGUUGAAAAAAAUGGUGGGGAGGAACAUAUCCCCUAAUGUUUUUACCUUCAAUAUAUUGAUCGACACUCUUUGUAAGAAAGGACUGGUUUCAAAUGCAGAGAAUAUAAUCAAAAUAAUGAUUCAAAGAGGUGUGGAACCUACCGUUGUCACUUAUAGUUCAUUGAUGGAUGGAUAUUGUCUAGGCAGCCAAAUUGAUAAGGCUAGAAAGGUAUUUGAUCUGAUGGUGACCAAUGAAAUAGCUGACAUUUUUAGCUACAACAUUUUGAUCAAUGGAUAUUGUAAGUGCAAAAUGAUAGAUGAUGCAAAGCAGAUUUUUGAUGAAAUGUCUCAUAAAGGUUUAGUUCCUGAUGCUGUUACUUAUCAUACUCUUAUAAAGGCUAUGUUUCAAGCAGGGAGGCCCCAAACUGCAAAAGAGCUCUUUAAGGAUAUGUGCUCUCAUGGUCAACAGCCAAAUAUAGUAACCUUCUCAAUUAUGAUUGAUGGCUUGUGUAGACAGGGGAAUCUUGAUGAGGCACUCACCCUAUUGAAAGCAAUGGAGAAAAGUCAGUUGAAGCCUAAUUUUGUGAUCUAUAGCAGUCUGAUCAAUGGUAUGUGCAAAGUUGGGAACUUUUUUCUAGUCUUUUUGAAAUUGGUUUACAACCUGAUGUUUAUGUAUAUAAUGCAAUUAUGAAAGGACUCUGCCAACAAGGAUUAAUGGAUGAAGCGUAUAAGGUAUUUAAAGACAUGGAAAAGGUAGGAUGUUUACCAAAUAAUUGUUGUUAUAAUAUCAUUAUUCAAGGGUUUCUCAGGCAUGAGGAUUUACCAAAAGCAUCAGAACUAAUCAACGAAAUGGUUGAUAAGGGGUUUUCUGCUGAUGAUGCUACCACAGAAUUGGUAGUACAUUUAUCGCGGAAUAAUGAUAUGAGGGAUCAGCAAACUAAAGUUGUUAUAUCUUGACCAUUCAAGUGUCUUGGAGCGCAACUUGGUAAUAACCUUUUUCAAAUAUAAUAAAUAUGUAAUUUAACUAACUUCUUCAAAUAUCAUUUUUAAUUUCAAUCAGCUCUGAUUCUCUUCCACAAAAUGAAAAUUUCUAACACGACAAAUGACCUGUAGUGGAAACCAUGAUAUAUGUGUGCCUUUCGAUUGAAUUCAGACAUGGACUUGAUCUUUUUGAUAUAAGAUUGUUGAUGAAUAGAGGUCAUGGAUUUCUAAUGAUCAAGUUGCUGGUAAACCCACCAUCUCCUUUACAAAUUUUUUUUGGUUGCUACUACAGCCUUAACUCGAGAGCUCAGUCCUAAAAUUGAGGUUAGAACUAAAAUUAAUUGGUUCCAUACUACAAUGCUUAAGAAUCUUUAUCUAUUUUUAUUUUUGUGCUCAAUGACCUUUUAAAAUGCUAUCAUUUCUCUUGUAGGUACUUGCAAGGAUAUGAUUACAACUUCACCUUUCUAACCAUAAAGNNNNNNNNNNNNNNNNNNNNNNNNNNNNNNNNNNNNNNNNNNNNNNNNNNNNNNNNNNNNNNNNNNNNNNNNNNNNNNNNNNNNNNNNNNNNNNNNNNNNNNNNNNNNNNNNNNNNNNNNNNNNNNNNNNNNNNNNNNNNNNNNNNNNNNNNNNNNNNNNNNNNNNNNNNNNNNNNNNNNNNNNNNNNNNNNNNNNNNNNNNNNNNNNNNNNNNNNNNNNNNNNNNNNNNNNNNNNNNNNNNNNNNNNNNNNNNNNNNNNNNNNNNNNNNNNNNNNNNNNNNNNNNNNNNNNNNNNNNNNNNNNNNNNNNNNNNNNNNNNNNNNNNNNNAUCUAACAAUAUGAAGUUCACAAUCUUUUCCAAUGAAAUCAAUUCUAAUACUCUUUCGUUGUCUAAAAAGAAUGGAGGCUUAGGCGUCAAAGAUAUCUCUCUUCAAAUUCAAGCUCUUUGGAGAUUUGAAAAUCAUAGGCAUUUCUUCCCUUCAGAAAGACAUUCGAAUUGCGGGUAUGCUACUUUCGAUGAACUCUUCUCUCCUUUUAAUCAUAUCAGAUUGGCUAAUGAUAUAUUUUCUUAAUUUUAUUUAUUAUAAUUUUUUUAGAUAACUUUGAUUAAAUAUAUUCAUAUAAUAAUGUGAUAUUAAGAUAAUAGGAGCCCAAAUUGAAUAUUAAAUAACAGAUAUUAGCAAAUAAAAAGUUGAAUAUUCAAUUAUAAUGAAAAAUCAACUAAAAUGAUAUAUUUUCUUAAUUUUAUUUAUUAUAAUUUUUUUAGAUAACUUUGAUUAAAUAUAUUCAUAUAAUAAUGUGAUAUUAAGAUAAUAGGAGCCCAAAUUUAAUUGCCUAUUUGCAAUAAUAAUAAUAAUAAUAAUAAUAAUAAUAAUAAUAAUAAUAAUAAUAAUAAUAAUAAUAAUAAUAAUAAUAAUAUAUUAUAUAAAAAAAUAAUAAAGAGAUAAAACAAAAAUAACAGUAAAAUAUUAUUUAAUUUGUGAAAGUGUUAAAUUUGGUUGUAGAGAAAUAGAGUGGUGAUGAUCUGAGAUCCACUAAAAUAGGGUUUUAUAAGGAUUUCUUGUAUGGAAUCAAAAGCUUAUCCUUUUUUUUAGGGAGGGGUCUACCCUUUUAUCUUUUUCUUCCUGCUUGCUAGUGACGUGUAACGUCCUUCCUGUCAUUGGACCACGCGUCUCUGCUAUGAAGAUAUGGACGUACGAGGAUAUCAGGCAUCUGCCUCAUGCGUAACGACUUCUGAUUCUCUCCAUGCGUACACACGAGCGGAUCUGCGGGCUGGUCGACGGGUCUCGUUCUUAAUUCUGGGCUGGGCCGAGAGAGGAACUGAAUGCUGAGCCCAGGAGAUGGAGAUGGAGAUCUGCAUGUGAGGUCAUGCGAGCCGGGCUGAUCUGGGUGAAGAGUCCUGGUGGAGUCCGGCCUCAAGGGUUGAAUGAGACGGGCCUGCUUCAUUUAUAUGGCAUGUGGGCCUUCCUUUCGUGGGCUAUGGCCGUGGUCUAGGCCCAUAAUCGGGGUGGAGAAAUCCAGCGGUCAUCAAUUGCCCCUUUACCUUCUCGGCAGUUAUUGCUCGACUGUCGAGGGGGUAAAUACCAAGAACCAUUAUGACCGCGUCUGUUCGGAUGCAGAUGCCUUUAUAACACCCUUUCAUCUUAUUGCCACUUCUCAGUUUUUGAAUCUGGUCUGCCUUUUUCCCUUUCCGGCUUUUCCUUAUUCUUCGUGUACCCUGCCAUCUUUGCUUUCCUGCCAUUAUCGUCCGGACACGCAUUUUCUUUCUUUUUCCAUGAAUAGCUUUUAAGGAUCCUGACAUUGUCAGCUUAGAGUCUAGCACCACCCUACCUUGCACUAAAACCCCAACUUUUGGGUAUAUAUUAGCAUCUCCUCCUCUUCAUUCUCAGGCACUUUGUUGGAGCAAGGAGGUCUUUCUUUCGAAUUUGUCUGUUAGAACGAGAGUUUUAUAUCUGUAGAGGGUCUAUCCGAUGCCUUCUUCAAACUAGUUAAGACGAGCUUAGGACUUCAUUACUCUGUUUCUCGUGAGGUUUGCUUCAAUCUCUCUUAUAUGAUCCUGAUAGAAUAUUAUUUUGACUUGCCCCGGUUUUGGAUUUUUUGCAGUAUCUGAGAUGAAGAUGAGUCAGUCCGAGCCUCUGGAAAAUUUUACGUUGCCCCUAGGGAGUCUGAACGUUGUUUCGGAGGUCCUCCUAGUGGGGCGAUCGAUGGGUGGGACCAUUCUGCAGGUCAUUGAAACCAUCUCGCCCAGGUCGUCCGGCCGACCUCCUCCCCUGGUUAUUGUUCGAGCUCCAAAGAGGUUCCGGGCUGCUGAGAGGUCCGCUCUGGCUUUGUCUUCUUUCGAGAAAGAAAAAGAAACUUCUACGAUGCCCCUGUUGUCCGCUCCUGAUUCAAAUAGAGGUGGUGAAAAUGAUCAGCUUAUUGCCGACUUCGGUGUGGAGUGCUUGCGUUAUGAGAGACUGAGAUCUGCUGUACUCAGUCAAGCUUCCGUCGAUGCCUUUGAAUAUAUGCUCUGCGAUCUUCCUGGAGCCGUAACUCGAAGGCUUAUGUUUUUCAUGCGUGAUAUGCGAUCAACGUAUAAUAUCUUCGCUUGUUCGUAUGCACCGUGAAUCACACUUGGGCAACAGAAUGCUCGCCUAUAACGGAACGGUGAGAAAUGCUUAUGGGAAUCAACUUGUUCAGUUCUCCUAUAAUAACAAAGUAGAGCUCGGCCGACCUGCAAAGCUCGUUUUCCUAACUACGAGAAUUCCUCUGAAUUGAAAACUAAGAUAGUGGGAUAGGUGACAGUGAUGUAAACGUAGAUGAUGAUGUAUCUGGGCAUGUAAAUCCUUUAAGGAUAGCCUUUUAUUCCGUAAUGUAGGUAUUCGUAACGUGCUGUAAUGAAAUUUUUGUUUUUCGUUCAUACUCGAGCUGUUCUUUCCCCAUCAUGAAUGAAGUAUUUAGAUUGCUUGCUUCGUAGUUUUUCCUGAGGGAUCCACUAUUGUUUUUUCCUUCUUGCCUCCUAGUUGAUCAGAACUAGAGUCCAUUUAGCCGACUGAGCUUUCGAUUUACUUUUUCCGAACUGGACUAACCGUACCCGUGAGCUCUGUUUUUAAUCAAUGAGUUGAGCUCUGAGUCCACUUAGCCAACUGAGCUUUUGGUUUACUUUUUCCGAACUGGACUAACCAUACCCAUGAGCUCUGUUUUUAAUCAAUGAGUUGAGCUCUCGACCCACAGCUUUGUAUGAUUCCGAGGCGUCCUUAUCGCUUCAUUACUACAACUUCAGGCUCGUAGCCUUUGUUUAGUGAUGAUAAAUCAAAUCCUGUACCUUCCUAGGUGAUGGGCAGGUCUGAUCUUUAUCAUGCUUCCCUCUGUUCGCGUCCUUGGAUCUUUCCCUGAUUUACCCCUUUUACCUCCUUAGUAUUUAUCGUAUGAGUGAUGAUGAGGUAAACCUUGCAUGUUGAGCCGUCCUGGGUGAGAGAUCGAAGUAGACCUCGGUCUUAAGGUUUGGACGAGUUGGGCUUGUUUUAUGUAGAUAGCGUAUGGGCUUUCGGGUGAUGGGCUAUCGUCGUGGACCUGACCCUUGAUAGAGGUGAAGAAGCCCAGCGGUCAUCCCUUUGCCCCUUUACCUUCUCGCCAGUUAUUGUCUAACUGUUGAGGGGGUAAACUUCGAGAGUAAUAAUAACCGCGCCGCUCCAAAACAAAACUGCUCAGAACAACGCUUCAUCUCAUUAUUGCCUUUCACUUCGAAUUCUCUGUGUCUUCCGAAGAAACUUGUUCUCGUCUGCUCUCUGUUUUCCUUCAACUUCUUCUGCUUUUUCCACCUUAUCGCGUUUCAGGUACGCUUCCUUAUUCCUCCAUGGAGGGUUCUAAGCUCUCCGAUGUUGCUAAUCUUGGUCGCACGUUACCUCUUCUACCAUAACUAAGUACAUUUCUAGGAGGUAUUUAGACACUCCUCUUUACCUUAUUCGGGCUCCUUUCCGAAAUGAAAGAAUAGUUCUUCUAAAUCCUCCCCCUCCUGGUUUGAUGGAUCCCCAAAGGGGUCGUUGCAUAGUCUUCUUCCUCAAACAAAGAGACUUCGGUCAGACUUUCCCUUUUACCCCUUUCUUUAUCGAGGUUUUUCGAUACUUUAGGGUAACCCCCGGAUAUUGUCUCCAAAUUCCAUUUUGUUCAUGUGUUAUUUUGAAUCUAUCUGCCUGAGUUGGGGUUUUACGCCCACGGCAUGUUUAUUCGUUACUUUCUUCCGCCUCGUCAAGGCGGUUUAGAAUUUUUACUAUUUUUCCCCCCGUGGUGGGUUGUCUCUUUUCACGGGCUACAAGGAUUCCAUAAAGGGAUGGGUAGAGAGUUUCCUUGUGGCAGAGCUGAGAAAAGAGACCGCCUUAUCGUGGGGAGUGGAGCUAGGUUGGGAGGAUGUCGCUCCGGGCUGCAACGACCUACCCCAACUAAGCCUUACUGAGCAGGUGGGGUUUCUUCGACUGACUUCUGUUGACAAGAAGUAUGACGUCGAGAAGUGUAUGUUCGUGUCUAAUCUUAGGGAUAUCCGGGACACGGGUAUAGUGUCUUGUUCAGCAAUUCUGUUUUUUCCUUGCAAAUGAUAUCGGAAAGUACGCUAACUCUUUAUAGUUUUGUGUUUUUGCAGCUUCUGACGUUAAAAUGGAUGAGAUCAAGCCCCCGAAGAACUUAGUUCUGACCCGGGACAGUAUGCAUGCCUCCUUUGAUGCUCUUCGGGCUGGGCGUCAGGUGUCUGAGGUCGCUGCAGAGGUGGCUCAGAUUGCCUCUUCUAAGAAGGUUAGCCGUCCUCCUGCUAGAUCUUCCUCUCGAGCUCCUAAGCCGAGCUCUCGCGGUACCAAAUCACUUCGGCCAUCUAGCCGUGGCAGGUCGAUCUCGACUCCUAAACCUGCUGAAGAGUCUAAGUCUGCUCAAGCUUCUACGGAAGAUGUGAGGGAAACUCCUCAAGUCAUUGUGGAGCAGACAGAGGUUAUUGAGCAAGCGAAGUUGGGUCUUGCUCAUCCUUCUGAGGAGGGGCCAGGGGGAAGUUUAAGUCCCCCAUUACCGACGAGGAGGUUCCUGGGAAGGGAAUGGAGGUCGUUCUUGGGGAGGACAAUGUCCCGACGGCUCCUAUCAAAGAUGCCCCUGCCCUUGUGGAGACUGGAUCUGGGUCUGGAGGUACCAUAGUGAAAACCGGGGACAAGCGUCCAGCCCCUCCCGAAACGUCUGCCCCAGCCCCUACUCGGAAGAAGUCCAAGGUUUCCAAAGUCUCCUCUCCAGCCCUUCCUCCCAUUGGGAAGGAGAAAGAUGUUCCUGUUGUGCCUCUGUUGUCUGCUCCUGACAAUAAUAUUUUGAACAAGGAGGACAUCACCCAUCAAUCUCCGGCCAGUGUAGUCGCCGAGAUCCUUAGAGAACGGAUGUUUGGUGGAAUUAGGGAGGCCUCGGAUCAACAUCUGCUUGCCCUCACUGGUCUUUUAGCCAGUUCUACUAAGGAGCAAGUGUCAUUCCAGUAUCGAUCUCGUGAGGAGCUCGGGAAUACAAUUAGGGAGAUGCUUCUGAUGGUAAAUCGUCUUUCUCUUUUGGUUUUCUUUAUUUCUUUCUUUUGAUGGUUGUUCUUUUGUAUUAGGUGAUGGGCCUUUUCAUAGAGGUAGACGCUCGCGACCAUUCUCUCCGGGAGUCUGUGAAUCACCGGAUUGAAAAGGCGCGCCUGGAGGAGAACUUAUCUGCUACCGGCGACGCUAGAGGCAAUCUCACAGCUGCUCGAGAGCAUACCCAGUCUCUCCAGGUGGAGUUGCACUCUGCAUUGGAGGCCCUUAAAAGAGCUGAGGGGAGGGCGGCUGAGGCAGUGGAGCACACCAAGUCCCUGGAAGUAGAGUUGUCUCAUACUCGCAGGGUUCUCAAGGAGUCUGAUGAGAGGGCGGCUGCAGCGGAGGUCCGAAGUGAAGAAGUUUUGAAGCAGUUGUCCUCUAUGGUAGAGGCCCUUCGUGAAAGGAAUGAGGCUAUAAGCCAGAAGGAGGAGGUUCAGCGCCAGUAUGAGGCCCUGAAGGCUGAUUUAGAAGGGCUUCAGGUUCACCUGGAUAAGGCGAAUACUCAAAAGGAGAGGGCCCUGGCUCGGGUCGAGGUUCUUGAGCAGGAGUUGAGCAAGAAUUCUGAACGUAUUAGAGAUAUGUCUUCAUUGGUGGAGGAGUCCUAACUUCACAGUCAACAGCUUAACCAUGAAGUCAGGACUUUAGAACGUAAAUGUUCAGCCCUGCUCAAGGUAGUCAAACAUGCUGAAGGCAAGGUCCAGUUGGAGCGUGAGAAAUGUCUAGUGGAGUACCAGGAGUCGGAGGAGCUAAAAAGAAAAAUUGAGCAGGCCUGUGAGGCUCACCUCCAAGACUACAAAGAUUCCCCUGAGUUGAAGGCAGUCAUAGCUGAGGCCUGCGAGUCACAUCUUGACGAGUAUAAGGCCUCUACGGAGAUGAAGACUGCUAUUUGGCAGAAAGCCUUUCGCAUGUACAUGACUGGCUACAACCGGGGUAUAAGAGAGGCUAGACAUGCUCCUGAUACUCCUCUGGCAGAAUUUCGAAUUGCUGAAGUGGAUUCUGAUGGCGAGCAGGUGCUAUAUGGAGAAGAUGAUUUCCCUUUGCCUAGAGGAACCUCUCGCAUUGCAGCUGGGUCAGCUGUGUCUUCUGGGGAAGAAUCCGAGCCGGACGGGGAAGACAUGGAGGCCCUCGGAUCUGAAGGAGACGACUCUGAGCCUGAGGGGGAAGACCCCGGCCCAGGGCUGGAGAUUAUGCCUUUUGUUGGCAUUGAGAAAUCUAAGCUGGAGGAUGUCAAAUCUCCUUCAGAUGCAAAUGUAAAUAAAGAUAGUGUAGGCGAGGAUAUUCUUAGAAAUGUGAGUCCCUUGAGGACUGUUUUUCCUCCGACCUCGUCUGAUAAAUAGAUUGUAAUAGCCUUUUCUCUUAAUGAAAUUUUAAUUUCUUUUACUUGAACUACUUUUUGUUUUUCAUACAUCCUGGAAUUUAUCUCUUCUUAUCAUAAUUGGAACACUUAAACUGCAUAUCUCGUAAUUUUUCCUGAGGGGUCCUCUGUGAUGUCUUUUUCUUUUUGCCUUUAUGCCCCUCAGAACUGCGAUUCCGUCAUUUGGCUGAGCUCCUGACUUGUAGAUUUAUCUAUUUUACUAGGAUAUUUUUAUUCACAAGCUUUUUCCGAGCUAAACUAGUCUUUAGUUAUGAGUUUGGUUCUUAGCUAAUUGUUUGAGCUUAUGAGAAGUCAGAUCACAUACCUUUUAAUGGUGACUAGCAGGGCUGCCUUUUUGCUUUUAGUUCUGACUUGUCAGGGAAUAGAGUUGAAGUCUCUUCUGUUCAUAUCAUUGGGUUUCUCCCCGAGUUGCCCCUUUACCUCCUCAACAUUUCAUUACAUGAAUGGUGAGGGGUAACUCCCUAAACUUUGUAUGUGCUUGUAUGGGCUUAUUUUAGAUAAUUUUACCUUUCUUCUUGGUUAUGAGCUCGGAUGUCUAUUCAUGGCGAACUGACUCAGGUUGUGGGCAUAGUCCUUUGCUUUCAUUUAUCCUCCUAUGUGUUCCCGAGUGUUUCAUGUUGCGAGUUUAUCCGAGCUGAAAGCUCGGUCCUUUACUCUUCGCUUAGGCUUUUAUACCUAUAACCUGUGAUGCUUCUUAUACCCCUGAGUGUUUUCCGGGCUCUUUGCUGUUUUAGACCUCUCUCUAAGCUAGUUGAGCUAGUUUAGUGUCAGCGGUCACUUCUCGAGGUCUGUGCCUCUUGGCUAUUGUGGCCCGAGCUUCUUCGGGAGGUCGGAAUCUGGUUUUUCAUUGGUAGCUUUGGACUUAUCUUUCUCGUGAGAUCGGAGCUGUAUUUUUAUGAGUCGUCCCUGCAUAUGAUACUGGGAAUCUUUGCUCCGGGAGGCCCUUAAGACCUUCACCGACCGUUUUUGUUUUGUUUUUCCGGGAGAUCCCGGUCUUGUUUGUUUUUCCGGGAGUUCUUAGGGGAUCUCGGUCUUAUUUGUUUUCCCGGGAGUUCUUAGGGGAUCCCGGUCUUGUUUGUUUUCCCGGGAGUUCUUAGGGGAUCCCGGUCUUGUUUGUUUACCCAGGAGUUCUUAGGGAUCCCNNNNNNNNNNNNNNNNNNNNNNNNNNNNNNNNNNNNNNNNNNNNNNNNNNNNNNNNNNNNNNNNNNNNNNNNNNNNNNNNNNNNNNNNNNNNNNNNNNNNNNNCUUGUUUGUUUACCCGGCAGUUUUUAGGGAUCCCGGUCUUGUUUGUUUAUCCGGGAGUUCUUAGGGGAUCCCGGUCUUGUUUGUUUACCCAGGAGUUCUUAGGGAUCCCGGUCUUGCUUGUUUAUCCGGGAGUUCUUAGGGAUCCCGGUCUUGUUUGUUUACCCGGGAGUUCUUAGGGAUCCCGGUCUUGUUCCUCCAAGAGGUCUUUCUGAGCCCUGUUCUUUCUUUCUUAUGGAGGAUUAUUAUUCAUAAAAGAUAAUCUCAUUAUGUAAACAAUUUUAUUCAUUCAUGUUUGUCAGAAUACAAUGUUUUUCUUUACAAAUAUAUCAGGGGAAAUACCUCUUUAGGUGCUGAAUAUUCCAAGCGUGGAGCUCAGGGUUUCCUUGCAUAUCUUCGAUUUGGUAUACCCCUGGCUUGACCACUUUUGCUACCCUGAAUGGGCCCUCCCAGGUCGGUGCUAACUUACCCGCUGCCGCUCUUUUUCCUGUAGCUUCUAGGUUUCUCAAGGCCAGGUCUCCCACUUUCAAGCUUCUUUCUCUAACCUUUUGGUUGUAAUAUCGUGCUGCCCGUUGUUGGUAAGCGGCAGUUCGGACUUGAGCUUCUUCCCUAAUUUCUUCGAGAGCGUCCAGAUUGCUUUUUAUUUUGUCAUCAUUAGUGUUCUCACUAACAAAUUGGACCCGAUGAGUGGGGAUCUGCAAUUCGAUUGGGACUACAGCCUCUGUGCCGUAAGCAAGUGCAAAGGGUGUUUCUUUAGUGGGCCUUCUGGGGGUGGUUCGGAGUGCCCACAGGAUACUGUUGAGUUCUUCCGCCCAAUUCCCCUUUGCCCCAUCCAGCCGUUUCUUUAAUCCUUGGAGGAUAGCUCUGUUGGUAACCUCUGUUUGACCGUUAGUUUGAGGAUGGGUCACGGAGGAGAAUUUGUGCCAGAUGCCCAUGUUCGUCGUAAAUGCUCUGAAGGUGCUGCAAUCAAAUUGUCUACCAGUAUCUGAGAUAAGCACUCUUGGUAUGCCAAAUCUGCAGAUGAUAUGUCCCCACACAAAAUCUAUCAUCUUGCGAGCUGUGAUCGUGGCUAUUGCUUCCGCCUCUAGCCAUUUUGAGAAGUAUUCUACAGCCAUCACUACGAAUUUUCUCUGCCCCGUGGUCUUGGGGAAGGGUCCCAGGAUGUCUAUUCCCCAUUGCGAGAAUGACCAUGGACUGGAUAUGCUGGCUUGAGGAGUGGCUGAGACUUUGAUGGCGUUAGCAAAUCUUUGGCAUACGUCGCAUCUUUGGACAAACUCUUCUGCUUCUCUUUUAACAGUGGGCCAAUAGUACCCUUGCCUGAAUAUUUUAUUGGCUAAUGUCCCUGCUCCCUCGUGGGCUCCACACAUGCCUCUAUGUAUCUCUUCCAUCACCUUCGCAGCCUCUUUCGGGCUCACACAUCGGAGCCACGGACUGGAUUUUCCUUUUCUAUAUAAGGUUCCCCUUAUUGCUUGGUAGUUGGCGGCACGAGCUGCUAUCUUUCUGGCUUCAUCUUUAUCCUCGGGAAGCUUGCCCUUUUCCAGGUAUUCUAGGUAUGGGGUCAUCCAAGUUGGGUUUUGUUCUACUUGCAGUACCGUGUUUGUCUUAUUAAAAGCAGGUAUAUGGACAUGCUGUAUGUACACUUCAUCGGGGAGUUGUUCUAAUUCUUCUUUGGACAAUCGACUAAGCAGGUCUGCUUCCUCAUUUUCCUCUCGAGGUAUUCUUUGAAAUCUGAUGGUAACUCCUCGACUUGUGAGCUCGGCUUCUAAAGUUUUUACUUUAGCCAGAUAAUUCUGCAUGAUGGGGUCUCUAGCCUGAUAUACCCCUGUUACCUAGUUGAUCACCAGCUGAGAGUCGCUAUUUACCUCGAGAUCGGUUACCCCUACCUUCAGAGCCACCAACAUCCCAUUUAUCAGGGCUUCAUAUUCUGCCACAUUAUUAGAGGCCUUAAAUUCUAGGCGUAAGGCGUAGCAUACCUUAAAAUCCUCUGGUCCCUUAAGCAUUAUUCCAGCACCACUGUCCCCGGUGCCUUGCUCCGUCUACAUACAACUUCCAGUUAAAUUCUUGGGAAGGCUCUCCCUUACCUCCCUUUCCUGAUAUCUCUGAGGAUGAUCCUCCCCGCUCCUCAUUGAAUGUGCACUCUGCUAUGAAGUCAGCCAGAGCUUGAGAUUUUAUAGCUGUCCGAGGUCGAUACUCUAGAUAGUAAGGGCUGAUUUCUACGGACCAAGCCAACAUCCGACCUGAAGUUUCCGGCCUGCGUAGAAUCUUCUUCAAGGGUUGGUCUGUCAUCACAACUCCUUGGUGGCCUUCCAGAUAAACUUUGAAUUUUCGGACUGCUAGUAAUAGAGCGUAAGCCAUUUUUUCAAUAUUUGAAUAUCUGACCUCAGUAUCUCUGAGUACCUUGCUAACAUAGAAAAUAGGUUUUUGCUCCCCUUCUUCUACCCUUACUAAUAUUGCGCUGACUGCUUGUUCCGAGGCUGCCAGGUAUAUCAGAAGCUCUUUUCCUUUCAUGGGACUACUGAGCACGUGAGGCGAGCUGAGAUAUCUUUUAAGCUCUAUGAAAGCUUUUUGGCAGUCUUCUGUCCAUUCGAAGUUUGGUACCUUCCUUAACUUUUUGAAGAAUGGUAAGCACUUUUCUGCCGACCUUGACAUGAAUCGAUUAAGCGCCACUACUCUCCCGAUUAGUCUCUGGACGUCCCUUACACAGGUCGACUCUGGCAUAUUCAAUAUGGCUUCUAUCUUCUCCGGGUUGGGCUCGAUGCCUUUUUCGCUCACCAUGUACCCCAAGAAUUUUCCUCCCCUAAUGAAGAAGGCACAUUUUGCUGGGUUCAACUUCAUUCUGUACUGAUCUAAUACUCUGAAUACCUCCCCCAAAUCUGCUAUGUGCUGUUGGAAAGUUGGGCUCUUGACCACCAUAUCAUCUACGUAAACUUCUACAUUUCUGCCGAUUUGAUUUUUGAAGAUUUUAUUCAUCAAUCUUUGGUAAGUUUCCCCGGCAUUCCUCAAUUCGAACGGCAUAGCUCUAUAGCAGUAAGUCCCAUCUUCAGUUAUAAAUGAGGUCUUUUCCUCAUCCGUGAUAAGCGGUUGUCGAAGCCGUCAAAAAUAAACAUAUUCUCAAUCAACAAAAUAAUUUGCAGAUAGUGGCAAUAGGGUCGAAUCACAGGGAAUUGACACUACGGAUUUUCCUAAUAAUGACUUGGUCAAGUAAAUAACAAAUAAUUAAAAGAGGGGGUUUUGAGUUGAUGAUAAUGGAUUAAAACUAAAUAGCUAUAUAAGAAUUUCAAUAAGAGAAAAGCUUCUAGUUGAAAUAUGGAUCUUUUUCAGAUUGUUUAGAAUUGAUCAUUGAUUCUUUAAUACUCCUAUUUAUCUCAAUAAAUUAGUUUAGCAUGUGGAAGACGCUUCUCACAAUCCAAAUUCCUCCUUAGUUCUAGUUUGAUUAGGAAAGUUCACUAAUCAAACACUAGUUAACAAGUUGCCAAGGAACGUCCUUGGGGCCUUUGGCAUCGAACAACUGUUGACUGCAUUAAGACUUAGAGAAACCCAAUUCUAUCCUUGCCAACCGCGUGGUCAAAUUUAGAUUAUGCAAUUUGAUUAAAUGUGUAUUUGAACAACCUAAGCAAUUACGGACCUAAAUCAUUCAAAUAAUAUUACUUAAGCAAUUUAAAAGCAAUGGGCCCUUAUUGAUUCUAAAAGCAAAGUAAUAAUUAUAGAAAGCUCAAAUUGCAUAAAUAUUGAAAAUAAAUAGAAGUUUAACAAUGGAGAUUUAAAUCUCCCAAUUCAUCACAAAAUCUGAAAUUCACCAACUUCAACUAGAAAAGAAUGAAUUUAGCCACUCAUGGUGGACUAAAUACACAAAAAGAUGAAAAGAAAAGAAAGAGGAAAGAGGCUGCAGAGUUUCUGGCGAGGGGAGAAGAUGCUGAGUAGCUGAUCAGAAGAUGAUGCUCCUUGCUGGUUUGGAGGUUGCUCUUUUAUAGCUGAAGAAUUCCAUCCUUCUAGGGUUUUGAAAUCCCUUUUUAAUUUGGCUUGUGAUUCCUCUUUUGAUAUUGAAUUUAAUUGCAACUGGAAUUCCUUAGGUGAGAAACUCUUUCGUGGCUCUUGGAAUUGUGUUGGUAGUGAUUGAGUUGGAUUUGGACUUCUGAAAAAUCGAAAUUUGGUUCCCUGCUGUUUUCCCGCUUCUGCUGUCAAUUUUGCUGUCAAUGUGAUCGGGGCAGUGAUUUGGGCAAAUCACUUGGUCCAUCUGCCCUGAUCACUUUCUGCAAUUCUGUCCAGUUUCAGUUUCUGCCCCUGCGAGUGAUUUGACCAGUUUCUGCGAGUGAUUUGGGCAAAUCACUUGCCCAUAUCACUUCUGCCUGUUGCCUCCAGGUUUCUGCUUCAGCUUGAUCUGGACAGUGAUUUGGGCAAAUCACUGACCCAAUCACUUUUCUGUCAAUUUUCUGCACUUUUUCUCCAUUUUUCCAAUUUCUUCAUUUUCUGUAAAAACAAGAUAAAAAUCAUAAAUUAAGCUAAAAAAAUGUGUAAAUAAGCAAUAAAAAAGAUAAUAAAAAUGUGGCUAAUUUAUGCUUGAUCAAUCCGACCUAUCCAUUGGGAUUUGAUGAUAACCAGACAUAGCAUCCAAAGAAGACAUAUAAUCGAAACCGGCCGUAGAGUCGACCAUUUUAUUAAUAUCAGGGAGGGGAUAACAAUCUUUAGGGCAGGCCUUAUUCAGGUCAGUAAAAUCUAUGCACAUCCUAUAUUUGCCAUUGGCUUUUUUGACUAAUACAGGAUUUGCUAACCACUGCGGGUACAUAACUUCCCUAAUAAAGCCUGCCUCCUCUAGUUUCUGCACUUCCUCCCUGGUGGCCUACUGCUUCUCUCUUCCUACUACCCUCUUCUUCUGCUUUACUGGCUUGGCCUCGGGGAGGACAUUCAAUUUGUGUGUCAUUACCUCAGGAUCGAUUCCAGGCAUGUCGGAGGGCCUCCAGGCGAAACUCGACGCGUGACCUCGGAUCAGGGCCAUGACUUCAGCUUUUUAUUCUUCGGUGAGACCGGCGUUGAGACUGAAGACCUUAUCUGCCUCUGCUUCUGAUAAAGGGAAGAUCUCCAGUUCCCCCACCGGUUCUGUCCUGACCUCUGUUUUCUCAUCCUGGACCUCUAGAACUUCCGAGUCAAGCGUUUCUCCGGUUGAACUCGGUUCUGCUACUGUGGCUAAGUAUACUGCUCUUGCUUCUUCCUGGCUACCCCGGACUAUUCCCACUCCUUCCUCUGUUGGGAACUUAAGCGCCAAAUACCUGAUACUGGUGACGGCCUCGAAGUUGAACAGCGUCGACCUCCCCAGGAUCGCAUUGUAGCUCAACGGAAGUUUGACCACCAAAAACACCUCAUGGUGGGUGCGAGUUCUGGGUGCUUCGCCUAAGGUAAGAGCCAGCUUCACCUUUCCUUCUACGAGCACCGGUACUCCUCCGAUCCCCUUGAUUGGUGCCUGGUCUCGGACCAGCUGUUCUUCUGGAAUUCCCAUCUGCUGGAAGACCCGAUAUGGCAGUAAGUUGACCUUACUCCCGUCAUCCACUAGGACCUUUUUCACCCGAUAAUUAUGAAUAACGGUUUCAAUGACGAGCGCAUCGUCAUGGGGCAUCUGAAUAUCCUGAGCAUCUUCCGAAGAGAAAGUGAUGGUCAUGGGAGAGUGUUCAACGAUUUGCAUGACUUCGAUACUGCUGCUCUCUCCUUCCCGAUUUCUCUUCUUCCCUCUGCGGCUCAUCCGACCCCUUGUUCCCCCAACUAUCAUGUUGAUGGUCCCACUGGACCCAUCGUUCACUGGUCCAGUUCCUGUUCUCCUCGGCGUCUGGGUCGCCAGACUGGGUUGAGGCCUCUGUCCCUCUGGUUUCUUUAUGAAAUUCUUGAGGUGCCCUCUUUUUAUCAGCCUCUCGAUCUUCGUGAUUAACUGGAAGUAGUUAUUGGUAUCGUGGCCGUGUGUUCGAUGGUACUGACAAUAUUUGUCAGGAUCCCGUUGGUUUGCUUCCGAUUUCACAGGUUUGGGCCACUAGAGGAAUUCCUUAUCUUGGACAGCCAUGAGCACUUCGGCUCUGGAGGCGUUGAGUGGGGUCAGCUUCUCAGGAACCCAAGGGGGAAGUGAUCUUUGCUCAGGAACCCGAGGAGGAGGAGGUCUUUGAUCCCUUCGCUCCCAAGAUUGCUUGUACGGCUCAGGCCUCUUGCCAUGUUUCUUUUCGUGUCUCUCUGGCCUCCUUUCUUCUGAGGCUUUUUCUUUUCCUGCCAUCCCCUUGGCAAAUCGGCUUGUCACCAAGGCGUCAUCCUGCCUUAUAUACUUCUCAGCCCUCUUCAUCAGCUCGGCCAGUGAGGUCGGAGGCUUCCUGCUUAAAGAGCCGAAGAACUCGGCAGAGGUUGUCCCCUUUUGCAUGGCCUCCACCGCCCUUCCUUCAUCGAGCUCGGAAAUCUGCAGGGCCUCCGUAUUGAAACGAGCGACAUAUUCCCUGAAUGAUUCAUCCCCUCUCUGUCUUACUGUUUCCAGGUAGCUCGUCUUCCUAUCUGCUGGCACCCCGGCUAUGAACCGGCUGAUGAAGCGAGUGGCUAGAUCUCCGAAACUUCUAAUGCUUCCGGUCUCAAGGCUGUUGAACCACGCCCGUGCUGGUCCCGAGAGCGUCGUUGGGAAUACCUUGCACACUAAGGCAUCCGACAGAGUUUGCAGCUCCAUGAAGGUCUUGUAGUUCAUGACGUGCUCCCUCGGGUUACUAGCUCCGUCAUAAGCCGCCAUCGACGACAUCAUAAACUUCUUAGGAAUAGUCUCCUGCUGCACCUACUUCGAGAAAGGGGAAGAAGUGGGCAGGAAGGUUUGGCUCUUAUCCUUCUUGCCCAGCUCGGCCAAGAGCUGCUCUCUCAACUUCUGCAGCUUUUGGUCCACAUUCUCGUCUUCCAGCCUGGGUUUUUUCUCCAGGUGGUAUUCCUCCUCCUCUGCUUCAUUCCUCGUCCACCUGGUUGUCUCGGGGGAAUAGUUAUCAGCUUCCUCAUUUUCUAUCAUCUCUCUCGACCUCUUUCCAUGGAUUCGAGCCUCCGGUUCUUCCUCUUCCCCGGCUCUUCUCCCCUUUUCCCCGGUAUCGCGGCUGCUGGUUUGAAGGCGGUCAGGGGCAGGUCGGGGCUCAUUGGUUUGAGGUUCUUCUACCACUGGGAGUGUAUUUAUCGGGGUGCUGAGGCCCCUUUGUUGCAUUAUCUGCCCCAACCAGUGGGCGGUAUUCUGUAGCUGGAGAGCCAUGGUUUGAAGGUCCUGGUUAGAUAAGGUAGCGGUGGGAGUAUUCCCUGCCAAGCUUGGCGAGGGAUUGAGAGGAAUAGGCGUUUGGUUGUUUAGUAUUGUAGGACUAGAAAAGGAGAACUGCUGCCCCUCUUGGGCAGAGCUCAGGUCAUUUGGGAUGUUAAGGUUGCUUUCAUGGUGAUUAGCCAUCGUGGAUCUCAGUGGGUUUUUUCAAGAGUGGAACUCCGGUGAUGAAAAAAUCUCCUUCGUUCCCCACAGACGGCGCCAAUUGAUGAUCUGAGAUCCAGUAAAAGAGGGUUUUACAAGGGUUUCUUGUAUGGAAUCACAAGCUUAUUCUUUUUUUUUAGGGAGGGGUCUCCCCUUUUAUCCUUUUCUUCCUGCUUGCUAGUGAUGUGUAACGUCCUUCCUGUCAUUGGACCACGCGUCUCUGCUAUGAAGAUAUGGACAUACGAGGAUAUCAGGCAUCUGCCUCAUGCGUAAUGACUUCUGAUUCUCUCCGUACGUACACACAAGCGGAUCUACGGGCUGGUCGACGGGUCUCGUUCUUAAUUCUGGGCUGGGCCGAGAGAGGAACUAAACGCUGAGCCCAGGAGAUGGAGAUCUGCAUGUGAGGUCAUGCGGGCCGGGCUAAUCUGGGUGAGGAGUCCUGGUGGAGUCCGGCCUCAAGGGUUGGAUGAGACGGGCCUGCUUCGUUUAGAUGGCACGUGGGCCUUCCUUUCGUGGGCUAUGGUCGUGGUCUAGGCCCAUAAUCGGGGUAGAGAAAUCCAGCAGUCAUCAAGUGGUUUACUGGAGUUUUUGGAAACAAAGGAGCAUUUUAUAUUUUUUGGAAGGCAAACUCAAAGCUACUAUGAAUUCUACUAGAGGUUCUUACGCUCCACUUCUUAUUAGAUUGAUAGGAAAAUGAGAGAUAGCUGGAUUUCAGGAAGUAGUUUGCUCGGAAAUUACGAAAACAACCGGUUACAAGAUUUUGCAAUCGCUUUUAUCAAAAUGUCAGUUUUAGAGCUACUCAUACAAAACCAAAUAUAAAAGGAAGUUUCUUGUUAGUAAUUAGAUAUAUUUCUCUAUGUUACAAAAUCUCAGCAUCAUACAAUACAUCAUUAAGGAAUAUACUACUUUAAUGGUUCAAGCAAGAUAGUUGGCGACAUGAGAACUAAACCAAAUUUCUGAUAUUUUAAUGUUUAGAACCAUAUUUGGAAUUGAAUUUCAGUAUAGUUCUCCAUUUUAGUACAACCUCAAUUUGAUUUCAGUUUUUUUUUUUUACUUUAAUUUUAAUUUCAUUUCAGUUUAAAUUUUAAUUGUUCACUCUUUCAUCAUCCACUAUGAAAAUUUAUUAAAAUGCAAAUAAAAUUUAUAAACAGGUACAAAUUCAUUUAUAAAUUUUAUAACUUCACAAAAUCCACAUUGAGUUUUUAAUGGUUUAAUAAAUAGAUCGAAUGGUCCAUGCCGUUAAUAUGUUAAUUGAAUAUUUAGCGGUAUAAAUUACCUGAAAGUUAAUAUAAUGAAAAACCUAAUACCCAAAAUACUUAUGGCACUUGGAGUGAGAAGUAAGAGCAUUUCCCUCUAUUAACUUUGUCCAUGUAAAACACAUCAUUAUCCGUCCAAAGAGAGUGGGACAGGGCAAUGAGAGAAAACAUCCAUUUCUUUGAAAGUUUUAAAUUUGGUUGCACAAAAAUGGAAUGGAGCUUUUGGAACUAGAGGAACACUUGUAUUUUGGAGGGCAAACUCAAAGCAGCAAUACGGUGAUUCAUCAUCUAACUUUGAGGAGAUAUCUCAACGUCAAUUAGACUAUAUAAGAGUCCUACCAGAGGUUUUUAUGUUCUACUUAGAUUGUAAAGAAGGAGAGACAGUUUGGCUUCAAGAAGUGGUUUGUUUAGAGAUCCGUAGGCAACUAGUUAUAGGGUUUUGCUAUUGCUUUUCUCGUACAAAAUUAAAUAUAAAAGAAAGCUUCUUGUUAAUAAUCACGAAUGCUUUCUCUAUGCUAUAAAAUCCCAGUAUCAUAUAAUACAUCAUCAAGGAACAUGCUACUUUAACAAUUCAAGGGGAGUAGAGAGUGAAAUGCUAAAAGAAAAAGCUAUGGUGAAGGAAGUACAUGCCCAUAAAGAUAUACACUUCUCCAUAUUCAGUUUAGUACUCUAGUUAUAAAUGUGACAAAUUGAAAAGAUUUGAUUUUAUUAUUCAAAAUUUAAAAUUUAAAAUAUAAAUAUAGAUUAAUGUAAAUAUUUGGAUUAUUUAUCAUUCUAUGUCUGUUUACAAAUCCAAACAUAUCCAUUUAAUUUUACCAGCAAAUUAUUUAUCCGGUUGCGAAUUAGUUUGUAUCCAUUUAAUUUUACAAAUUAUACACUCAUUUGUGAUAAUUUUAUGUCCAUUUAAUUUUGUAAAUAGAUUCUACGUUUAUUUAUAUCCAUUUAAUUUUAUAAACAGAUUAUAUAGUCAUUUGCAAAUUAGUUUGUAUUUAUUUAAUUUUACAAAUAGAUUAUGUGUCCGUUUGUAAAUCAUUGUAUUCAUUUAAUUUUAUGAACGAAUUACAUGUUUAUUUGUGAAUCAGUUUGUAUCGAUUUAAUUUUACAAAUAGAUUAUAUAUCCUUUUGAAAACAAUUUGUUUCCUUUAAUUUUAUAAACGGAUCAAACAUUCUUUCAUGAAGCAAUUUGUAUCCAUUUAAUUUUACAAAUGGAUUAUACGUCCCUUAGCAAAUAUAUUAAUUUCUAUUUAAUUUAUAAACAAAUUAUAUAUUUGUUUGCAAAUUAAUUUGUAUUUAUUUAAUUUUAAAAUGGAGUAUACAUCUAUUUAUAAAUUUGUCUGUGAUGAUUUAUAAAAUUUUUACAAAUAAAUUAUACAUCUAUUUGUAAAUCAAUUUGUGAUGAGUUGCAAAACUCACCAUUUUUUUCAUAUUAAAUUCUAUAAUUUUGCUAUGAUUCUGAUGUGAAUAAUUUAUUUUUAUUUGAAAUUUGAUUUUGGAUAGGUUUUGAGCUAAAAAUGAGAAAAAGUAUCAAGAGAGGCUGGUUUAGAUUUUUUUUUUUCUGACCGGAAGUUACAGCCUUACUCAAGGUUGUAGUCUAAGUUGACGGACAGAUUCUAGGAUUACUGCUGUAUAAAAUUCAAAACUGUUUCAGAUAUAUGCAAACAUUAGAAUUAAAAAAUAAGAGUUAUCAUAGAAGUAGUAUAUUUAUUUUAUUUUUUCUUUUAAACUAUAAAUAAUUAUCUUUUUAUUUAUAAAAAGUCUAUAUAAAGACUGCCCUAGAAGUAGAAUUUACCAUCUCUUCUCAUCAUCUCAUCUCCUCUCUUUUCGGUCCCUUCUUGGCUGAAUUCUUCCUCCCCUCUUUUUAUUUUUCUGCAAUUUUAUUAUGACAUUUAGAAGCUAAACUCUUUUAUUUAGUUAAAAGUUAAUCAAAUUGAAGUUCAUUUAAAAUUACAAGAUUAUGUUUUUAAUUUUUGUUUAUUUUAUUUUUAUUUUCAAUUAAUUUCUAUUUUUGAGAAACACCACCUCCAUUGUUGUCCUUUUAGAAAUUCAAGAAGUCUAUUGAAUCUCUUAGGAAAACAUAUUAUUAUUUAAUUCAAGUAAAUAUGUAAUUGUUUAAUUGGGUUAAUACAAUUAACAACUAGCAUUUUUUUAUGUUAAGUAAUUAAUUUAUUUGUUAUUAUUGAUUAAAUUUGAGUUAUUCUCCUCUUAAAGCGGUUAAUUAAUUAAAUCUACACGCUUAAUGGAGUUAUUAAUUAACUAGAAAUUAAUUUAAGCGCUAUGCAAAUUAAUUUAAUCAUAAGAAAGAAUCAGUGGAAUUCAUUUGUUUGAACACUAUAGCCAAAAACUUUCUUUUUAAUCAAUAAUUAAUGGCAAAUCUUUUAAUUUUGAUUAUCUUCAUUUUAAUUUGAUUAUUUGUUUCAUCGUUUUAAUUCCGUUAUUUUCUUCUUUUAAGUGUUCUUUUUAAAUUCUAUUCUUUUCUUUUUUUUUUAAACUAUUCUUUUAUCCUACUUGUCAUCUAAUUUAAAUAAAAUUAAGGUCUUUGUGUAGAUCAACAUUCAUUUACCCUAUCUGCAGAUUUUUUUAAAUCAAGUAAAAGGAAAUCAAUUUUAAUUAACGGAUUCAACGCCUGUUUGUAUCUAUUGAAUUUUAUAAAUGGAUUCUAUACUUGUUUAUGAAUCCUUUUGCAUUUAUUUAAUUUUACAAACAGAUUAUAUAUUCGUUUAAAAAUCAAAUUGUGUUUAUUUAAUUUUAUAAAUGUAUUACUCAUUGGUUUGUAAAUACAUUUAUGUCUAAUGCUAAAUAUGUGAAAAAAAAUAUAUCAAUUCUAUAUUUAAUCUUUAUAUUAAUUUAUAUUUUAAUCAUUUUUUUUAAUUUCAAUUUAAUACUUCAUGAGUUGCAAAAUUUAUUAUUUUUUCCAUAUUAAAUUGCAUGAUUUUGAUAUAAGCAAUUGAUUUUUACUUAAAUUUUAAUUUUGGAUAGAUUUUAAGCCGAAAAUGAGAAAAUAAAUCAAAUACCAUGUUAGAGCUUUUUCUGACUAGAAGGUAUAGUUUUAUUCAAAGUUGUGAUCGAAACUCGAUGGACAAAUUGCAUUAUUUCUGUUUUGCCAGCUUUAUAGAGUUCAUAACUAUUUUCAUAUAGAUGCAAAUACAAUCAGAUUAGGAUUAAGAUAAGAGUUAUCAUAGGUGACACGGAGCAACUAGCCUUAGAUUUUACGGCAGACUUGGACCGAGUCUAACUUUUACUGCCGACGUCCGAUGGAAAUCCACAAUAAUUUUUCAGAAAGAGAAUUUCAAGAUGCGCAAUUUUCAAAAGUGUGAUAAAGGCCGUAGGCCUGUCACAAAAUUCGAUAUGAAAAUUCCACUGUUUAGAGGGUCAAUUUUGCAUUUUAUUAUUUUUUUGGAUAUUUUUAUAAUUUUGCAUAUUAGAGUUUGUUUCUUAUUAUAAAUAGCCUUCCUUUGCUAUUUGGAACUCACUUUUCAAUCUUUAAAGAAUUUCAAUAAGAUUUUGCGGCUUUUAUCCUAUCUUUCUCUUAUAUCGUCUUAGCAAAGCGAUAUUGGUUAAAACUCCUGACGGAGUUUAAAUAGUCUUUUAUCAGAUAGGUAUCAGAGUAAAAGUUCGACUAUGGCAGAGAACUAAGAGGCGCGAUUUACUGCAAUUGAGGCAUCUUUGGCAGAAUUGAGGGAGAUGAUCGGAAAGUUGGCCUUGCAGUAGGGAAUCCACCAACUCGCCGCCGCCGCCCACCCCCAGCCAGUCGCUAAUCCUGUGGCUGCCAAUCAUAUGCCUACAAAUCCCUAAUAGAAUUAUCAGGAAGGUUACAAGAUCAAGAUAGACUUUCAAAACUUUUGUGGUUCGUUGGAUGUAGAAUAUGUUCUUGAUUGGUUGGCGGAGGUUGAACGUUUCUUCGAAAUUAUGAACGUGAAAGAGGAUUGCAAGGUUCCGUUUGUGGCCUAUAAGUUAAAGGGGGUGCAGCAUCCUGAUGGAAUUCAAUUCAAAACGAACGCUAUCGGAGGAGGCUUGAUCCCAUACAAAAUUGAAUGUUGAUGAAGUAGAUGAUUGAACAACGGUUCUCGCCUAGCGAUCACGCUCAAAUUUUAUAUUAUCGGAAUCAUGACUGUAAUACCCGGUUAGACCCCGGUAUCGGAGUUCUUAAGUUCCGGCGGAUUUUCCGUUGGAAUUAGGGAUUCGAGGAUGCCGGAGCUUGCCCUAAGGGUAUAAGAGAGGUUUUUAAAGUGUUUUUUAUCAUGUUUGCAUGUUUUAAGUUAAGAAAAUUGAGUUUUUGCAUGAAAAGACCAAGGGGACGGAAGCCAGGUUCGGCCGCCGAAGGUGAAGUUCGGCCGCCGAAGGUUGCAUGGUUUCGCAUGCACGUUAGGCCGCCGAAGGUGAGCUGGUUGGCCACUACAAAAGCCCUUUGACCGAAAACUUUGGGGUAGAACACCCUGUUUUUGAGCCAAAGGUAAGUCCAUGUCCUCCUUAGAAGAUUUUCUCAUGUUUUCCUCAAAUCUUGCAUGUUUUAACAUGAUUUGAACUUUGGUUUAGAGUAUUGAGCAAAAGGAAGCAAGUCGAGCAACUUGGAGACUUUGAUUAGUUUUCCCCCACAUCUCCCAGCUUGGACCAUCAAUCCUCUAGUUCUUCAAGAGGUAAGCAUGGAUCCGCACCUCCCCUUAUGUUUAAAGUAAGUUUUGAGAAGUUUUAGAGAGUUUUUGGCAUGGUUUGGGGUGUAACCAUGAGUUUGAGCAUAUGUUGACCAUAUGAGUUAUGAAGAGUUUUGAUGUUGCUUUUGGGGUAUGAGUUAGUUUUUAGGCCCCUUUAUGCAUGAGAUAUGUUAUAUGUUAGUUGAGAAGUGUUGCUAUGCAUGUUAUGGGGGUUUUUUAGGUUUUGGGAGGCUAAAACCCUGAGUUGGGUUGGGAUUCUGCCUUUCUGGAGAAUCCAGGUUCGGCCGCCGAAGCAAGGUUCGGCCGCCGAACCCCUUGAGGAGGCAGUUUCGGCUGCCAAACCUUGCCCCCGAAAGCCAGGUUUUCGGAUUAGAAAAGGACUUUCGGCCGCCGAAAGAGGGAGUUCGGCCGCCGAAAGUGUGUGAGUUUCGUCUCUGGACGUGACUUUCGGCCGCCGAAGGUGCCGCCGAACAUGCAUGAGUUUCGUCUCUGGAGGGAGGUUUCGGCCGCCGAACUAGCCGCCGAAAGUACCCUAUCCAGCCUUCUUUUGCAUGUUAUAUGUGUAUGUUGUAAGAUCUUUUAGGGGGGUUUUGGGGAGAUAUUAAGAGUGAUGUUUAAGUAAGUUUGGUCCUCAUUUGAGUCCACCUGUGUAGGUGCGGACCCGAGGAACCCAGAAGGCCCACAGCGUUAGAGUUACAGAGACUGCUCAGCAGUUGACAGAGGUGAGUGGAACAGAACUUUGUUUUUAAGAUUACUGAAUGUUUUAGCAUGAUUCAUGCAUCAUUAAUGCCAUGAUAUGUAGGAUGUUUUGCAUUGCACUAGAAUACACGAAGAUAAUGUGUUGCAUUAUUAUUUGUAUAUGUGGAUUGGACCAAGGCGACUCCAAUAGCCCGUAAGUCUGUCAUUAUUGAAAGACCUGUGUGAGCUCCUUUGGGGCCGGGCAUUUUACUUGGAUGAGUCCUGUGAGAGCCCUUUCUAGGGUCGGGCACCAUGAGUAGAUUAGUGAAAGUCCUGUGUGAGCUCCUUAGGGGGCCGGGCACCGACAGAGGGAGUUUUGGGGUCAUGUCCAAUCUGAGAUGUGAAAUGUUUGUGCUGUGACGCAUUUCAUGUUAGCAUAUUUUAAAUGUUUUUAUGGCUUCCACUCACUGGGCUUUAGUAGCUCAUCCCUCUCCCUAACCCCAUUUUUCAGGGCCUCAAGAAAGAGAAAGAGAAAGAGAAAGAGAAAGCAAGGGUAAAAGCAUAUGUAAUAGCAUAGAGUAGUGGACAUGAUUUACAGUACAGCGUUUAUGUAAUGUAUAGACAUGAUAUAACAGUUAAGUAUGUAUUGAGUUAUAGAAUUGUGCUUGGCCCUAGUGUAUGUUUAUCCCUUUGCACAUGAUCAUUUUAUGUUUGAGUUUUAUGUAUGAGAUGAUGUUUUAUGCUGAGUUCUAGCAUGGUUUAAGGACUCCAAGUAAGGGGGUCUUCAUGCUUCCAGUGACUGUAUGGUACCACAGCAGGUAUCACUCUCAGAAGUGCAUACAGUAUAUGUUCAGUUUAAGUUUAGUAAGAGAAAAAAAAAAGUAUAAAAAGUUUACAGUUUAUGCUUAAGUGUGAUCAUAUAUGGGAUAUAUCAGAUACAUAGAGUUCAGUAGGCUUACUACGGGUCCCGGCGGCCUUAAGCCGAUCUGGAUCCUAGUGCCGAUGGCAGUCCAAUUUUGCGGGCUGUUACAAUGACUGUGUAUAAGGAAAUCGAAGGGUGGAUGAAUAUACCAAGGAGUUUUUUAAGUUGCAGGCGAGGUGUGAAAACUGUGAGAAUGAAGUUUAGCAGGUUGGUCAUUAUUAGAGGAGUUUGAAUCAUGAAAUUCGUUGUAUGAUGGGAGUAGCUACGAUUUUCACUUUGGCAUACGCCAUUGAGAUGGCAAAAAGGGUAGAAGAGCGUGUUGAUUGGUAGCUACGACAGCAGUAUUGUAAUACCCGGCUAGACCCCGGUAUCGGAAUUCCUACGUUCCGGCGGAUUUUCCGUUGGAAUCCGGGAUUCGAGGAUGCCGGAGCUUGCCCUAAGGGUAUAAGAGAGGUUUUUAAAGUGUUUUUAAAGUGUUUUUAUCAUGUUUGCAUGUUUUGAGUUAAGAAAAUUGAGUUUUGAAAUGAAAAGACCAAGGGGACAAAAGCCAGGUUCGGCCGCCGAAGGUGAAGUUCGGCCGCCGAAAGUUGCAUGGUUUCGUAUGCAUGUUAGGCCGCCGAAGGAGAGGCGGGUUGGCCACUACAAAAGCCCUUUGACCAAAAAUUUAGGGUAAAACACUCUGUUUUUGGGUCAAAGGUGGGUUCAAGCUCUCCUUGGAAGAUUUUCUCAUGUUUUCCUCAAAUCUUGCAUGUUUUAACAUGAUUUGAACUUUGUUUUAGAGUUUUGAGCAAAAAGAAGCAAGUUGAGCAACUUGGAGACUUUGAUUGAGCUUUACACCCAUCUCCAAGCUUGGACCAUCAAUCCUCUAGUUCUUCAAGAGGUAAGCAUGGAUCCUCACCUCCCCUAUGUUUAAAAGUAAGUUUUGAGAAGUUUUAGAGAGUUUUAUGGCAUGGUUUAGGGUGUAACCAUGAGUUUGAGCAUAUGUUGACCAUAUGAGCUAUGAUGAGUUUUGAUGUUGCUUUUGGGGUUUGAGCUAGUCUUUAGGCCCCUAUAUGCAUGAGAUAUGUUAUAUGUUAGUUGAGAAGUGUUGGUAUGCAUGUUAUGGGUAUUUUAUAGGUUUUUGGAGGCUGGAACCCUGAGUUGGGUUGGGAUUCUACCUUUCUGGAGAAUCCAGGUUCGGCCGCCGAACCCCUUGAGGAGGCAGUUUCGGCUGCCAAACCUUGCCCCCGAAAGCUAGGCUUUCGGUUUAGAAAAGGACUUUCGGCCGCCGAAAGAGGGAGUUCGGCCGCCGAAAGUGUGUGAGUUUCGUCUCUGGACGAGACUUUCGGCCGCCGAAGGUGCCGCCGAACAUGCAUGAGUUUCGUCUCUAGAGGGGGUUUCGGCCGCCGAACCAGCCGCCGAAAGUACCCUGUCCAGCCUUCUUUUGCAUGUUUUAUGUGAUUGUUUUAGGAUCUUUUAGUGGAGUUUUGGGGAGAUGUUAAGAGUUAUGUUUAAGUAAGUUUGGUCCUCAUUUGAGUCCACCUGUGUAGGUGCGGACCCGAGGAACCCAGAAGGCCCACAGAGUUAGAGUUACAGAGACUGUCAGCAGUUGACAGAGGUGAGUGGAACAGAACUUUGUUUUAAAGUUAAUGAAUGUUUUAGCAUGUUACAUGCAUCAUUAAUGCCAUGAUAUAUAGGAUGUUUGGCAUUGCAUUAGUAUACACGAAGUUGAUGCAUCGCAUUAUUACUUGUAUAUGUGGAUUGGACCAAGGCGACUCCAAUAGCCAUAAGUCUGUCAUUAUUGUAAGACCUGUGUGAGCUCCUUUGGGGCCGGGCAUUUUACUUGGAUAAGUCCUGUGAGAGCCCUUUCUAGGGUCGGGCACCAUGAGUAGAUUAGUGAAAGUCCUGUGUGAGCUCCUUAGGGGGCCGGGCACCGACAGAGGGAGUUUUGGGGUCAUGUCCAAUCUGAGAUGUGAAUUGUUUGUGCUGUGACGCAUUACAUGUUAGCAUAUUUUAAAUGUUUUUUUAUGGUUUCCGCUCACUGGGCUUUAGUAGCUCAUCUCACUCCCUAACCCCAUUUUUCAGGGCCUCAGAGAAGAGAAAGAGAAAGAGAAAGCAAGGGUAAAAGUUUAUGUAAUAGCAUAGAGUAGUGGACAUGAUAUACAGUACAGAGUUUAUGUGAUGUAUAGAUAUGAUGUAAUAGUAAGUUAUGUAUUGAGUUAUAGAAUUGUGCUUGGCCCUAGUGUAUGUUUAUCCCUUUACACAUGAUCAUUUUAUGUAUAUGUUAUAGAUAAUGUUGCUUUGAUGAGAGCUAGGCUUGGUGCAUGAUAGUAUAACCCAUCUAAAGCAUAGUGAGAACUUUAGUGAGGGGUUUCUAUCUCUGUAGUUACUGUAUGGUACCAUAGCAGGUAUCACUCUCUGAGUGCAUACAGACAGAGCAUGCAUAGUCCAAGCUUAGUGUAUGAGAAAAGUUUCAAGUUUUACAGAAAAGAAAAGAUUAGAAAAGCAAAGUAAGAAAAAAAUAUGUAGUACAGCUUAAGUAUAUGUUGAUCAUGUAUGGGAGUUAACAGGUACACAGAGUUUACAGUUGGCUUACUACGGGUCCCGGCGGCCUUAAGCCGAUCUGGAUCCUAGUGCCGGUGGCGGUCCAAUUUCCGGGCUGUUACAAGUAUAACCGAAAUUUUAAUUACAGAAAUUCUGGAUUGACAGGGACGCAGCAGUAUAGAGGCAAUUAUAGCGGACAACCUUCUAUGGUUGUAAAUUUUGGCAAUUCUCAGAAUACUAUGGAAGAAACGAGAGACAAUAAGGGAAAAACAGUCACCACUACAGCAGACAAAGAAGACAGAUUUUUUAGUAGAAGUUGAGAAAAUGAACGAAAAAAGACUGAAUUAAAAGAUUUUUGUACAGAGAGAUUGCAAUAUUGGCCAAACUUGUAGUCCAAGGCGAUGGGAAGUUUCAAAAAGCCCCAUCUCAGCAAAUUUUGCCAUCUAACCAAGGAUAAGAUAAGUUUCAAAUUGGAUCAAACACAAUCAGAUUAGAAUGGAGAUAAGAUAGGAGUGGUAGAAUUUAUUUUAAAUUAUUAAAUUCUAUCUUUUUGUACCUAUAUAAAAACUCUUAGAAUUAAACCUAGGCAUCAUAUUUUCUUCUUCUCUCCCCCCUCUCCUCUCCUCUCUUGCCGCCACCCCUCUCUCUUCUUCUCCAUCUUCUUUUCUUUUUCUUUUUUCUUUUUUUUUCUUUAGCUUUUGCAAUUUUAUUAUAGUUUUUAGAGGCUAAAUAAUUAUUUUCAGUUGAUAAUUAAUUUCAAUUGAGGUUUUAUUCAAGUUGUGAGUUUAUGUAUUUCAAUUUUUUUUUAUCUUAUUUCUAUUUUCUAUUAAUUUCUGAAUUGGAGGAACACCACCUCCAUUAUUAUUUUCUUGAGAAUUCAAGGGGCCUAUUGAAUUUCUUGGAAAGAUAAUAUAUUGCUAAUUAAUCUAAUUGGAUCUAUCUAAUUGGAUCCAUAAUUAUUUAAUUGGGUUAAUAACAAAUAACAAUUAACAUAUUAGUUUAUGGUAAAAAAUUAGUAGAUUUGAUUUAAACAAAUCGCGUGUUUUUAUUGAUUAAGUUUGGGUUAUUCUCUUUUAAUGCAGUUGACUAAUUAAAUCUAUACGCGUGUUUGGGUUAUUAGUUAACUAGGAAUUAAUUUAAGCGCGAAACGGAUUAAUUUAUUCAUAAGUAAGAAUUGGUAGGAUUCGUGUGUUUGACCACCAUAACCAAACAAUAGAUAAUAAUAUGAAUUUUUUUUCUAACUAAUGAUCAAUUAUAAAACACAUUUGAUUACCUUCGGCUGAAAGUUUUAAUUAAUUAUUUGUUUCUCAAAUUUUAAUUGCAUUAUUUAUUAUUUUUCUUGGCUUGCCAAGGCAAAACCACUUUCAUCAAAAAAACUAUUUUCUUCUCACUUGUUGUAUUAAACUACUCUUCUAUCUAUAUGGUAUAGAUACUCCUUUACUCUAUCUACAAGUUCUAAUCAAUCAAGAAAAGGGAAGUAAAUUUUAAAUUGACAGAUUGGACACUCGUCAGUGAGCUGGUUAUUAAUAUUAAAAAGUGCAUUUAUACGAGGGAGUGCAGCAAGCCAUUUCAUUAAAAAACUCUCUUCUUCUCACUUUAUUUAUAUGUGGGAGUGCAGCAAGCCAUUUUCAUCAAAAAACUCUUAUCACUUGUUGUAUUAAACUACUUUUUUAUUUCAAAUUGAUUAUCUAAAUUAAACAGAAUUAAGGUUUCUGCGGAAUCAAUACUCACUUACUCUAUCCUCAAAUUCUUAUUAAUUAAGAGAAGGAAAGUACAUUUUAAAUUGAUGGAUUCGACAUUCGUCAGUGAGCUGGUUAUUAAUAUUAAAAAGUGCAUUUAUAUGAUGGAGCGUAUUCUGUUUUUGAAAUUCAUUGUUAGUGUAGAAGAGAUAUAUAUUGAUGAGAAAAAGGUAGAAGCAAUAUAGAAUUGACUCAUCCCAAAACUAUUUCUGAAGUUAAUAAAAAUGGACUUGUUAAGGGGUGUUCUUUGAAGCUGUUAUUCUAAAAGAUGAGAGUACCCAUUAAUUCUCUCAACAUAUGAUUUAUGAAUGGAGGCAUGCUAGAUGUCAGGAGUGUAGGAACUUUGAACAUUAUGAAUCUCAGUAUGAGAAAAAGCACGAGAGAUAAGUCUGGCAACUUAAGAAUAAAAAAAUGGAUGGGAAUAAGGGUGACAAUGUUGAAGAGGUGGUAAUGAUAGCACGGAAUAUAAAUGAAGGAAAAUGGAAGAGGAGAGUGGUGGGAAGUGGGAAAGAAAAAGAGAAAAUAUAGUCUCACGAGAGAAAAUCAUUAAUUAUAUAAUAUUAUAACAGGGAGAUUGAAAGCAUUUUAGUUUUUUUUUUUUUUGCUUUAUNNNNNNNNNNNNNNNNNNNNNNNNNNNNNNNNNNNNNNNNNNNNNNNNNNNNNNNNNNNNNNNNNNNNNNNNNNNNNNNNNNNNNNNNNNNNNNNNNNNNNNNNNNNNNNNNNNNNNNNNNNNNNNNNNNNNNNNNNNNNNNNNNNNNNNNNNNNNNNNNNNNNNNNNNNNNNNNNNNNNNNNNNNNNNNNNNNNNNNNNNNNNNNNNNNNNNNNNNNNNNNNNNNNNNNNNNNNNNNNNNNNNNNNNNNNNNNNNNNNNNNNNNNNNNNNNNNNNNNNNNNNNNNNNNNNNNNNNNNNNNNNNNNNNNNNNNNNNNNNNNNNNNNNNNNNNNNNNNNNNNNNNNNNNNNNNNNNNNNNNNNNNNNNNNNNNNNNNNNNNNNNNNNNNNNNNNNNNNNNNNNNNNNNNNNNNNNNNNNNNNNNNNNNNNNNNNNNNNNNNNNNNNNNNNNNNNNNNNNNNNNNNNNNNNNNNNNNNNNNNNNNNNNNNNNNNNNNNNNNNNNNNNNNNNNNNNNNNNNNNNNNNNNNNNNNNNNNNNNNNNNNNNNNNNNNNNNNNNNNNNNNNNNNNNNNNNNNNNNNNNNNNNNNNNNNNNNNNNNNNNNNNNNNNNNNNNNNNNNNNNNNNNNNNNNNNNNNNNNNNNNNNNNNNNNNNNNNNNNNNNNNNNNNNNNNNNNNNNNNNNNNNNNNNNNNNNNNNNNNNNNNNNNNNNNNNNNNNNNNNNNNNNNNNNNNNNNNNNNNNNNNNNNNNNNNNNNNNNNNNNNNNNNNNNNNNNNNNNNNNNNNNNNNNNNNNNNNNNNNNNNNNNNNNNNNNNNNNNNNNNNNNNNNNNNNNNNNNNNNNNNNNNNNNNNNNNNNNNNNNNNNNNNNNNNNNNNNNNNNNNNNNNNNNNNNNNNNNNNNNNNNNNNNNNNNNNNNNNNNNNNNNNNNNNNNNNNNNNNNNNNNNNNNNNNNNNNNNNNNNNNNNNNNNNNNNNNNNNNNNNNNNNNNNNNNNNNNNNNNNNNNNNNNNNNNNNNNNNNNNNNNNNNNNNNNNNNNNNNNNNNNNNNNNNNNNNNNNNNNNNNNNNNNNNNNNNNNNNNNNNNNNNNNNNNNNNNNNNNNNNNNNNNNNNNNNNNNNNNNNNNNNNNNNNNNNNNNNNNNNNNNNNNNNNNNNNNNNNNNNNNNNNNNNNNNNNNNNNNNNNNNNNNNNNNNNNNNNNNNNNNNNNNNNNNNNNNNNNNNNNNNNNNNNNNNNNNNNNNNNNNNNNNNNNNNNNNNNNNNNNNNNNNNNNNNNNNNNNNNNNNNNNNNNNNNNNNNNNNNNNNNNNNNNNNNNNNNNNNNNNNNNNNNNNNNNNNNNNNNNNNNNNNNNNNNNNNUAUUGUAUACAAAAAUUCAUUUUUAUUUAGAGUCAAAUAAAUUCAAUUUAAAAUUUUAGGUUAAUUAAACUAUGUAAUUUUAUUGAGAGCUAAAUAGAUUCUAACUUAAUAUUAUUUUUUAAUUAUAAAAUAUUAUUUUUAUAAUUUAAAACAUUAAAAAUUUAGUAGUUUAAUUAUCAUAAAAAUUUUAAAAAAUAUAUAAAUAUAAUAAAUAAUUUUUAAAAUUAUAAAAAUAAAGUUUCAUCAUAUAAAAAAUAAUUUUAUUAUUAAAAAAUAAUAUUAUGUUAAAUUUUAACUUAUUUGACUCUUGAGUAAUAGUAUAUAGAUUUAAUUGAUUCAAAAUUUUGAAUUAAAAUUAUUUGACCCUUAAAUAAAGGUAAAGACUUAAUUAAAUUUAUAUUUAAAAAAUUAUUAUUAUAAAAUGAUAAAUUUAAUUUGUUAUUAAAUAAUAUUCUUAUAUGAAAAAUUAAUAAAAAAAAUUACAAAAUAUGCUGCAUAUAAACAACUAGUAAUGCAUUUCCUUUCCCAAUUUCCUUUUGUUAUCCUAACCACUUUACCAGCUGGCAGAGAGCCUUCCCUUUCCGAUUUUCUAUUUCCUUUCCUCAUCCCAAUCUCCGAUACAUCCCUAAAAACAACUGACGAUAGAUCGAUGAUGAUGAUGAUGAAGAUGCCUUGGAGGAGCAAGAGCAGGAGCUUCCAUCUUCAGCUACAAGGGGCAAUUGGUACCAUUCAAUCUCCAUUCCUAUUCUUAUUUUUACCAAUUAUUGCCAUUCUUCUACUUCCACACUUGAAGAUGCACGCUUCUUAACAAAUAACUUCAAAUCUGCUUCUUUUACCCGCCUUGAUGAUGCCAUUGCUUCCUUUAAUCAUGUAAUUCAUAUGCAUCCUCUGCCUUCUAGGGCUCCAUUUAAUAGAUUCUUUUCUGCCCUUGUGAAAAUGAAACAAUAUCAUACUGUCCUUUCCAUGUCUAAAACAAUUGAAUUGCUAGGAAUCUCUCACAAUGUUUAUUCUCUUAACAUCUUAAUUAAUUGCUUCUGCCACUUGCACCUUGUGGAUUUUGGCUUCUCUGUUUUCGGCAAGAUGUUCAAAUUCGGAUUGGAGCCUACCACUGUGACAUUUACUACCUUAAUUAAUGGGCUUUGUAUAGAGAGUGAAAUCGAUAAAGCAGUGCAAUUUUUCGAUGAUAUGGUUGCACGUGGUUAUCAACCUAAUGUUUAUACUUACAAUGUGAUAAUAAACGGAAUGUGUAAAUUUGGGAAAACAAAUGUGGCUAUUGGGCUACUAAAGGGAAUGGCUGAUAGAGGUUGUGAGCCAAAUGUUGUGACAUACAAUGCAAUCACUGACGCACUUUGCAAGGAUGAGCUAGUUGAUGAGGCAUUAGAGCUCUUCUCUCAAAUGAGGAAUAAGGGCAUUUCACCUAAUGUCAUCACUUACACUGGUUUAAUUCACGGUGUUUGCAAAUUAGGCCAAAAGAACCCAGCUUUGGCCUUGAUGAAUGAAAUGGUGGAGCAGAACAUAUCACCUGAUGUUUAUACCUUCACUGUAUUGAUUGAUGCUCUUUGUAAGGAUGGAAUGGUUUCAGAGGCUCAAAAUACAUUCAAUAUAAUGAUUCAAAGAGGUGUAGAGCCUAAUAUGGUCACCUACACUUCCUUAAUUGAUGGUCUUUGCAUUUCAGACCAAUUCAAGGAAGCUUUGGCCUUGUUGAAAGAAAUGGUGGGGAGGAACAUAUCCCCUAAUGUUUUUACCUUCAAUAUAUUGAUCGACACUCUUUGUAAGAAAGGACUGGUUUCAAAUGCACAAAAUAUAAUCAAAAUAAUGAUUCAAAGAGGUGUGGAAC